UUCUUUUGUCUCACUCUCUCGCUUCUCCUCCUCCUAGGAAACAUGGUUAAUUGUGUUUAGAGAAAAGAGACAAGGCCAACAUCAUACUUAGUAUCAAAUGUAUCAUAAAAGUGUUAUGUUGUGAUGUUUGAGUUUGCGUGUGUCAGAGCAUGGCAUCAGCAUGAUUGUGACACACCAUUUAUGUAUUUUUUUUUGAUGAAAUUGUAGACUUAGCUUAAAUUUCCUAAGAAACUUUUUCAAAUACACUACUUAUUGGUAAAUGGAACUUAUGUAAAUCCUAAUAAAAGAGUGAAAUUCGCUUAAUUUAUCAGUCUAGUUAGUAUUAGAGCAUCUCCAAUGGUAGGAACUUAUUUUGGGACUUAACUCAAUUUUUGUGGGCCCAAAUUGCCACAUAGGAUUUAAGACACUCAUAAGGUCUUCAUGCACAUUUCACUCUAGUGGUUGAGAUCUUAUUUUACUUUUGACUGGACCCACGGUACCUAAUAUAUUUAUAUUAUUUAUUUUUCUCCCUAAUUUUUACUUUGGUUAUGGUAUUGAAGGAGAGAGAAAAAAAAUAUUAUUUUAUUUAAGAUCCCACAUUUGAGAGUACCUGAGCUAAGGCACGGAUCUUAGCUUUUGCUAAGAUCUCAUGCCAUGUAGGAUAGCUCCAAUGGUGGGAUAUAAUAAGAUCCAGAUCUUAUUUUAAGAUCCCAAAAUAAGGACUCCAUUGGAGAUGCUCUUAGUAAUUUUUUAUGCAAUAUCUUUAGUACACUUUUAACACUAUGGAUUGACUGAGAAGAAAAAUAUAUUAUUUCCAUUUCUGUGAAAUCAUUUGUUGCCUUUAUUUAUUGGGGUGGAGCAGAAAGUGAAAAUACACUAUUUAUGGUCUUGAAACGUAAACCAAGAGUAGCUUUGUAGAGUAACUAGAAAUGGCAAUGCCAGUGCAACAAUGUAAUCCGUGAAUGUGUAAAAAAUUUAGUAGUUACUAAAAAAAAAAUUAACAUUAUAAUAUCAUAUAGCAUAACUUUGGAUACCUAUCUGGCUAUCUCCUGCGGUUCUAACUCAUUUGCAUUUGUUGUUUCGAAAAUAAAAUAUAGCUAUAUUACUUUUUUUGGAGGGAAUACUUACUCUUUGGAGCAUAUAUUAAUUAAUGAAAAUGAAAGUACAAAAUAUUUGGUAGAAACAAUUAUGGGAGGUGCCAAUACAUCUUUACGCUUUUGUCUUUAAAACCUUGUACGUAUGAAACCAGAUUUGUUUCAUGGUUCUUAUUUCCGAUGCAAUUUUUGGAAAAAAAUAUACACCUAGAGUUUAAGUUUGCAGACUGAUUUUUUAAAAACUCAGCAGUACAUUUCUGAGUGUAUUCUGCAAACUAUAAUUAUUGUUAUCAGAGGAAUCUUGGUUCAAACAAAACAUUUCCAAGUUCAAACUAUAAUUCAAGCUUCAGGGGCUUGACAUUGUAGAUUUCUAGAAAUCAUUGUUAUUAGAUAAUCCAAGUUCAUGGUUUUCAUUCAAAAGUAUCACUAUCUAAUGCUAUCAAUCUGGAUAGUGAUAUGGACAAAGUAUCAUAAAUCACAUCCUCUAAAAAUCCUGUUUCAUUGUCCUGAGUUGGUAUUAUUUCCAUUUCUUAUUCUGAACUAAGCAACACGUUUUAUUUAUCUAGAAAAACUAAUUUUUGUGUCAUGUCUACUAGGAUGAGGUUUGGGUGGAGGAAGGGCCGCCGGGUUUGAUGCCGUUGUUGCAUGAUGACAUUUUGGCCUUCAUGCCAAGUGCCAACUUUGAUUUAAUAUUAUGAGGUUUUGUUCAAAAAAAGGAUAAUCAACUUCAAAAAAAAAAAUCAAUAUACAGGGUGCCGCAUGUUUAAUUUCUCACAAGGUGUCCAAUAUCAGGGGGAAAUCUCAGAUCAGAAUCUGUUUUGAACCCUUAUAUCAGCCCAACAAAGUUUUAGUACAAAACAGCUAUUUCAAGAAAGGGUGGGAAUCUUAAAACAUGAUCAUUAAUUGUGCUAAAUAUAUCAGUCAUUUAAUACAAGCAUAUUUAAAGAGCACUCAGGGUCAUCAAAGAAGCAAAUCAGUAAGGCACAUACAUCCUUAGAAUUUCUAUGAAUCACAGGCAGAUGAAGAUCUACAGAUUCAAAGCACCAUAUAUACUUGCAACCAAAUCCUAUGUGUAUAUCUUCCUCCUCCAUCACGCAUUGACGAAUGAGGUAGAGACAUUGUCGUCUAAGCACAAAUUUAAACAGUGAAAAACAGUCAACUUAAAACAAGUCAUAAGAUCAUAAAGGACAAUGCAUUAAGCAACCCUAAAACUAUUACCAUGGAUAAGGAUAAUGGGAAAUGAAAUGGCCAAACUAAAGCAAAUCAUCAGCCAGUGAGCAAUUAAGAAAGCGCCUGACUUUAUAUUUGGCACUUUUGAUUGUUGCACGUAUCCUGGUAGACUUAACCUUUGCUGUUGCCUGUGACUCCUUGCAAACAAUCUCUUUUUCACAUAUUGAUCGAAACUUUGCUUCUAAUUCCUUUUUUUGUUCUUUAAAUUCUCCCAGUUCUUUCUCAGCAGUUUCAAUGUCUUUUAUAUUGCUAUCUUUUUUCUCUUUCAGCACACCCGACUGUUUAAGAAUCUGCCUUGCCUCAAGUAUCUGAACUAGUCUCUGGUGAAGCCACUCAAUGUCUACCUUUAGAUUUUUUAUUUCAUUGACAAGAGCGAUCAUCUCACGCAAGUUGUCAUCUUUGAUCUUACCAAAUUCCUUGUCCUGCAACUCUGAGAUAAUUUCACAUAUCACCUCCAACAACUUUGAACGGUAUUUCAUUGUCAAUACCACACAGUUCUCAGCAAUAUCUCCAUGCUUGUUGAGAAUUUUACUUAAUAUGGGCAUCAAAUUGGGCUUCACUUCAUAUCCUUCCACUGUGUCCAUAGACGAGCUCUGUCUAACAGAAUCAACUUCAUCUUCAUUCUCCAACAUAUUAUCUAUUCCAGUUAGAUUGAAGCUGAAAUAUGAGGAUGGAGACCCAUACAUUGAACUAGACUUGCUAUGAUUCUUAUUCGCUCCUUCCUCAAGGGUAUUUGAUACUUGAAACUCCUUUGCCAAAGGAGACUUUUUAAGAGGGCUACAUUCUGCUAAAACUGUCUCCUGCCAUUCCAUUUGAUUCAAGUGAUUUGAAUUUAUCCCAGCCUCAUGUGCUUUCUCCAUUUCUUGUAUAUCAACUGUGUCGUUCUCUGUUGCAAUGAUAUUCCCAACUUUCUCAGCCUCUUCAUGUCUCAUUUCUGGUGUGAAAUUGAAAGAGUGAUCAGCAGCUUGUGUGAGAAGUCUUGAAGGGGAUUCUACAACAGAACCUGUUUGAACUUGAAUAGCCUGAACCAAAUUUCACAAAAGAUUAAUUAGUGGACCCAUUUAUAGCUGUUCUCUCUUCAAUGGUAUAAAUCAUAGAUGCUGGCAAAUAGUCGCAGAAAUGAGUUCAAAAAGGAAAAGUGGAAGAUAAACUAGAUGUUAUCAUAAACACACACAAGAAAAGCAUUUAUUUCAUACAGAAAUGACAGUGUCAACGGGAUCAUCAGGAAGUUGGAAGGCAUUCGAGGCGGAGCAAUGUUCUUUUGAUAUCUGAGGCCGUGAACGUCUUGAAACGGGUGUUUUUUCAAUUUCUGUAAGUCUCUUUGGAAUGAGAUUUCCAACCUUCUCAGUCUCUUCAUGUCCCAUUUCUGGUGUGAAAGUGGAAGGUUGAUCAGCAACUUGUUUAAGAAGUCUUGGAGGGGAUUCUGCAACAGAACCUGCUUGAACUUGAAUAGCCUGAACCAAAUUUCAUAAAAGACUAAUUAAUGAUUCCAUUUAUAGCUGCUCUCUUCAAUGGUAUAAAUCAUAGAUGAUAGAUGCUGACAAAUGGUCAAAGAAAUGCAAUCAAAAAGGAAAGGAGGAAGAUGAACUAGAUGUUAUCAUAAACACACACAAAAGAAGUGCACUAAUUUCAUACCGAAAUACCAGUGUCAACUGGAUCAUCAGGCUGUUGGAAGACAUUUGUGGCAGAGCAAUGUUCUCUCGAUAUCCGAGGCUGUGAACAUCUUGAAACAGGUAUUUUUUCAAUUUCUGCAAGUCUCUUUGCGGAUGCACGGCGAGUGGAGAUCAUCCUGGAACCUGAAUUAAAAUGCUUUCUGGAAGAGGGAGGGCACUCCCAAGAGCAAGACUCUGACUGAAUAUCAUACAUGAACAAGCUACAAAUUAGAUAUAAACAAACAACAAAGUAAAGGAGGAAAAUAAACUAGAGAACCCAAGAAACAGGCCAUUCUACAUCCUUCUUUAAUGUUACCGACAUUCACAAGAAUGAAAAAUGUAUUUGUAUUUGGAAUACCAAGUGUAUACGUUUCAUUGAGCCUUCAUCUGCCCUUAGUAAAACAUAAAUUUCACUGAGACAAAAGAAACUAAAUAGUUUUGUAUUUGCUGUGAAGCAAUGAGUAUUCUCAUGUUUCCUCAACAUUCAAAAUAAUAGCAAUGGUUUUCUUAAACAUUCAAGGUGUUUGAUAGACUUAAACCAGUAGCACAAUAAAUUAACCAAUAAGGACAUGAUUAGAAUAUAACAAACCCAGAACCAUACCUAUCAAUGUCUUGCAGCAGGUAGCCUAACUUUUAUCUAAUCAUUUUAAGUUUAACACAACAUAGAAAGAACAUCAAGGGAAUGGCAAAAAAGAUUACUUUCAAUGUAUCUAAUUCAUUUAGAAAAUCUUAAAACUUUUGCUAGCACAAUCAUGGACUUGAACAAUAUAGCACAGAAAGUCAUGGGGCCUCCAUUCUAGAUCCUGCUGUGAAAGUUCUAGAGGCAAAAUGAAGAGGGACUUAGGGCAACAUCAACAUCUAUCUAGUUACUUAAAACUGGUGAGAGUGAAACACUGAAACUCAUACCCCCAACAAACAUCUUCAACUUAAAGUGAUAUAGAAGGGGAAAAUGAGAGGCAGAGACCAUGAUUUUGGUUCCAAGUUCAUGUUUUUCCAGCUUCAUUUUCAUAAAGGUGGCACCUUUACAUAACAUUCCUUCUUUGUAAAGACAAAAUCAUCAUGUUCACAGAAAUGCAAGCUAGAAGUAAAAGCAUGGCAUGUAAUUACUACAACAUUUUAGGAACAAGGAAGAGUAAAUGGCAUUGGCAUGGCUUACCUGGUUGUUGGUGUUGGUGGCUGAGUUAGAGAGGGAAGCAUCAGUAUCCUGAUGAGCUUGCUUUCUUUUCUGCUUCUCCAUGCUGUUUUGUGUCUCACUGUUCUUACUUGGUCUUUAGCUAAAGAGAAGAGACAACAAGGGCAAGAAGAUGGAUUCACAAGGAGAAAGAGGAAGAAAAGUUAUGUAUAAGAGAAAAAUGGAGAGGUGUGUACCUUACUGAGAAUCAGAGCACACUGCCAUUUUAUUUUUUAACAGUCUUUUAUUGUUAUUUUAAAAGAUUCUAAUUUUCCAUUUGCAGUUUUUACUUUAUUUUCCUCAUCAUAUCCUAUAUCAUAUCUUAUUUCUUUGACUUAGUUAAUUUUUUCUCUUUUAUUUGAUUGAGACGUUGUUAGAGUGUCAGCAGAAUAAGAAUAAUCUGUGUUCACUUAUAUAGUUAUAUUAUAUUGGUAUAGAAUACACAUAAACCAGAUUAAAUAAAAAAUGAUCAUCUACAAAUGCGGUGGUUAAAAGUGGUUGUUUGAAGUUGAGAGUUUGAUUUCUCCUUACCCAUUAAAAUAAAGCGUAUAUUGUGGUCGGUUAUUUAUCACUUAGUGCAAGCAACCACGACAUGUAAUUAUUAAUUAGUCAUUGCUGUCGACGGUAGAAGUAACCUGUGAGACCUAACUUUUCAAAAAUAGUAUUAGAGAGUUAAAAAGAUGCGUGAGUUUCAUUUCAAUUGAAAUGGACCCUAACUUUUCAAAAAUAUUAUUGGAGAAUUAAAAAAAUGAGUUUCUUCCAUGUUAAAAAAAAUAUUAUUUCAGGACCUUUAUCUGAUUUGCAAGUUGUAAGUAAUUUUAAGUUUUCUUAUUCUAAAGUUGGUUCUAAAGUUGAUUAUUUAUUGUUUCUUUUAAUCUACCUAUAUUUUAAGUUGGAGGUCAUAAAUUUUGUCCUCUUGCUGCAUUUAUUUGUCUAGCAACUGGAAAUGGCAACUGCCAGUGCAGUAAUGCUUCACAGUAGUCUCCCUCCAAUUUCUCAAUAUAGUUCAUAUAAUUCACAGGAUAAAAUAAUUAAGUAUCCGUUGAAAUACUAUUAAUAACUGGAGCUGGAUGUUAAAAAAAAUGAAUACUUUGUUGAAGAUUCAUGCUUCAGAUUUUGAUGACUUUCUAUUAUUUAUACAACCAAUUGUGGGACUACUGUAGCAAGCCUUGCCUUGCAAAUCUGAGACUGAAAAUGAAAGAAACACAAAAUAUAAAAUAUAGCUGAACAAGAUCUAAGGAUACUUUUGGGGCGUAUCAACUUUCCUGAGAAAGGAAAGGUAAAAUCUGCAUAUUGCAUGGAGAAUCAAUGAUAAUUCAAAGAUUAGGCAUAAAUAAUUGAUGUUCUGCCAGGAACAUCCAAAGGUCAACUAUAUAUUAAGGUCGUCUAAUAAACCAUGAAGAUCUGAGGUUGAUAACAACUUGCUAAUAGGACAACAGAAGCUCAGAAAAUAUAUAUAAAUAACUCAAAAUGAUGAAACAUUCAAAUUUUGUGGAACAACAAAUCACAACAGUUCAAAAUAUUAGCCUUUCAGAUUAAAGUACACGACAGCUGCUAUACAAGUCACACAAAACAAACCAUUAAAGUUCAAAAGCUUAAGAAAUGAAACAAGUUGGGUUAGCACAAUUAAGAAAAUUACACUUGUUACAGAUCAAAUGCUUAUCUACCAUUCAAAACCAUGAAUUAUAUAGCGAAGAAAUUUGAAGUCCGAAAUAGGAAAUGUUAUAAACCUUAUAAUCAGGUGCUGCAAUAUAUGCUCUCCUUCAGGAUAUGGUGAACUAUUUGGAAAUGUGAUUCAUGUGGAGUAAUAAGAUAAGAGUGCUUAUAAUGGCAAACAAAAAUAAGCAUUAAUGCCUAUCGCUGGAAAAUUUUGAUGCAAUCAUUCAAACACAAUAAGUUGAAAUUCCAGGAAGGGGAAAAGCAGAUACAAAUCCACUGGCACCAUUGGUUAUAAGAUACAAGUAUAAGCCACACGAACAUAAAAACAAAAUAAACUGUGGUUAACAAAAAAGAAGUUAUCUCUGAAAAUUAAAAAAAUGCCAGUUCAAAUUUUGAAAGGAAAAUGCUGAGAAAAUCGUGAAGUUAUCACAGUGAACUUUUUUUAUCAAAUCAUAAAGCUUCAACAGCUAUAGAAGAAUUAGUGAGUGCAUCAAAGUGAAGAGAAAGGAUCUCAUGAGCUCUGGAAACGAAAUGACGAACCUUAGCUUGUGAAGGAUUCGGAAGAACAGCAUGCGGAACUUCAAUGGAUGAAGGGAGUUGAGAGAGAUGAUUGAGAAAGAGGGAUAAAGCUUGGGUUACCGAUUUUUACACCCAAUUUGGGGAACUCAAAAAAGUGACUCUUGGGAGGGUUUUAAAAAUAUCCCAAACACUUCUUCCCCUAAUUUUAAAAAAAUGACCAACCAAAGGGAGGCAUGCAUUAUCAUAAGCCUCCCCUGCCUCUCCACUCCCCUCCCCCCCCCCCCUAAGAGUAUCAAAGAUGAAACAUGCAAUUACAUAGGAUCUAAAAUCAUAAAGCAUUAUGGACAAGAAUAAAUGAUAUUGUUUUCAUUUUUCUAAAUCUCAUAAUUUACAACAGUGCCUUUGACCAGAUAGUAAUCUUAUGUCUCAAGUUAUCUAUGAUAUUAUCAAAACUGGCCAUACAAAACAUACAUUUGUCCCAAGAAAGGUUUCACCGUGUUUGAUUUCUUCUUUUAAGUACAAAAAUGAGGGUAGCACCUAGGGAGAAGAAAUGAUAUAACCUAUUCUGUUAAAGAUGUAUAACUAUUGGAAAAAUAUGCUGCAACUCUGUGAAGAAAUUCGAAAGCAACAUGUGUCAAAAGAAAGAGAAGAGAUCCAGAACUGUCUCCCUUUACGCCUCAUAACUAAUAAAGAAGCUUGCUAGCUCACAGAUUAAGUGUGAAAUCAGUAAAAAUUGGGACAGAAUGGGGACUUUCUAUCAGAACUUAAAGAAUGCAUUCAUCUGUUCAAAGGUUCUAACUGGACUUCCAUUCUCACAGAAGAUUGUGACUCUCUAUCUGCAGGUGUUGUGUUUGCAGUCAAGAGAUCAACAGAAUCAUCCUCCUCAAGAUUACCAAGAACCCAAUUGCUUCUUCCAAAUACCCGGCGACUGAUUCGUUGCUUUUCAUGGUAUUCCAUAUAAAUAACAAACAAUAAACCAAUUGAGAACCAAGUUGCCAAAGCCCAAUUGAGUCUAUGGACAUUUUCCACACCAUAUCUGUCUCCCAGAUGCUUCAACCCACUAAAAAGUGCAGCAAUGCCAACAACAAAGGCACAUCUACCAACAGUUAUGUGAAAGUAUUCCCAAAUAACCCUUUUGAAGGGUGCCUGCUCUCCAUUUGCAGGUUUUUGAGGUCUUAGGAAAGCAUUUACUGGCUGUAUACAGGCCAAAAAAAUUGCAGUAAAACCAAAUUUAACAUGAGCUGAGCUAGCAUAAAAUCCCCUAAGCUCAGCCACUGCAAAAAGAAGUGCAAGUAGAACAAUUGAUAACCCUGAGUAUUGCAAGUAAACAUGAAUCCGGUACCAUCCAUCACCCUUUAGAUGUUUUAAGUAUCUGGCUGCCAAUAUCCCUCCAGGGAGCAGGAUACCCCAUGCAAGAAACAUCAUACAGCCAUGCACAGACAAAACAGGAAGUAAAUCCUGCUCUGCUUCUGCAGACCCCCGCACCAACAGUACAUGGAAAGGUCUAUUACUCGUACUAGAAUGCAUAUUCCUAUUACUAAGAUGGUCAUUCGUCCAUUUAGCACCCAUUGCCCAAAUAACUUUAAGUGGGGUUGUGGGAUCAAUAAUAUUGCUACAUUCGGGCCUAUUGUCUCGACUACAAGAUGGGUUCAAGGGACGAGUAAACUCCAAAGUAAUGAUGCCCUUUUCUGUUUUGCAUCUCACAUAUGUCAAAUUCUCAUGGGUAGGAUGAAUGCUUGAAGCAUCUUUUCCAUCAAUCCAAUAAGUGUUUACAUGACCUAUACCACUAUCAUCAAUCCAACCUACAUAAGCAUAGCUAUUUACCAUUCCACUUCCAAAUCCUAUUGCAAGAUAACCACUUUUUUUCUCCGCACGAGCUGCAAUAGAUAUAGAAUGCUUUGACAAAGUCCAAAAGAAGGUAACCUGUUGAUCAUUCAAAACAACACUGUUAUUGUACAUGUCUGAUAGACCCCCAUCAACCACCUCGACCAUCCAACCCAUUUUCUUCUCGUACAAUGAAUGAUAGUAGAUGUGAUCAGGAGUGCUCCUGUCAGGAGUCCAAACUAAUUCUGUGGGACUGGUUUGAACUCCUUGAGCCUCUGGACCUCCAGCAUAAAUAGUCUCGGUAAGAUUCCUCAAUGUAGCGUUUCCACCAAUAGGAUCAGAAGUAAUAUAAAGUGCAACAUCAUGCCCAGCUUGAAUCUCAAACUUGACCGGCACCCCUCUUUCCACUCUCAGCAGAGGAGCCUCCUUUUUGUUGAUGUAAAGAACCUUUGCAGGAUUCGGAGGGUUCGGGUAAUGUAUUGCUGGACCAGACGAAACCACCAAAGGAACUUUUGCAUCCGCAAUGAUGACAUCUUGAUCCUCCUUGUUUUCAGCAUCCAAGGGACCUGCACAUUCAUUCACACGCUCCGAGACAUUCAGAACCAAAUGUCCAUAAGUCUCAGAAGGAAAACCCCCAUGAUUCUGAGGGAGAUAGUAAGGGAUUAUAGUAUCAGGAGGCUUAAUUUUCCCCAGAGCCCAAAUAACCUUCAUAUUUGCUGAAUAGUUCACAGGGAGAUCAUACUUGUCAUCCACCUUAGUCAAGGGCCUCUUGUAUCUAACAAAUGACACCCCAUCCUUCCUAUGUCCGUAAAUCAACGCGGUGUUGUUCACUAAACCCACCCUAUCCUCAUUAUGUUCUUCAUACAUUGAAUCAGGACAAACCCCCUGAGCCAAUCCAUCACUGUUUCUCACACACUCACUAUACUUGGUAAUGAAGAAAUCACCCACAAAGGGUAAACCAUCCUCCUUAAACCCUGCAACAGCAACAUCAGCCCCUAUCAUGAGCCCAGAGUCACCACCGCCACCGCCACUCGAAUUUGCCCACCCAAAAGCCAUGUAAUUCAUGAUUCCAGUUGCAGCCUCCAACCCAAUUUCAAUGGAAUCCUCCUCCACAUUCAACGUCCACCUCAACCUCAAAUCCUUGGACAAAACCUUGCAAUUCUCAAACACCGUCGGAGGAGGAGGCCUCGAAGUCACAUUCUCCCCCAGCACCACGUGCCCGAAAUCGGAGGCGGUGGCGCGAUCCCACACGGCCAGCACACGGAUCAUGCUCCACGUGACAUUGCUCAUCAACCGCACGGCGAAGCUUGAAUUCGAGUACGUCUGGUUCAAAUUGUCACCUGAGACAACGACGCCGCUGGUGAGAUCCUCGAAAUCGGGAGAGAGCGCACCCCACCAGCGCACAUCGGAGCCAGGAAGCAUGUCGAAGUGAGAAACCCUAAAGGAGCAAUCGUCGGUGACUUUCACGGAGCCUCGGAGCUGGUGUUGAACCAUUGUGAACUCCGACUCUGAAUCGACGACGGGGCUGAGGCGCGUGCAGUUGGGAGCAGGAUCGGCAUCCCCGGAGAAUGAGAAGUGGAGGAGGAACGAUAUGAAGAGGGUUUCGCGAAGCAUGAGGGUGAAACCGUUGUUGCAGUCUUUCGAAUCGCUUCGGUGGAUCCGAAUUGGUGGUGGUGAUGGUGGUUUUCGAGAGUGAAGAACCACGGAGGUGGACGUGAUCGGAGAAAUGGAGGCGGUUGCGGCGGAGAAGGAAGAAGGGUGAGUUUUCCGGCGAAAGUUGAAGGGACGUGGAACUUUUUUUUUUGUUUUUUUGAAAAGUUUGUUGUUUGCACGUUGUGUUGGGUUUUAGGAUGCGCGGCGAAUUCAGGUGGGAGAAAGUAAGGACCCGUUUGGUAUGCUGUAUUGUAUAAGGCCUGAUAGUAUAAGACAUGAUUGUAUAAGGCCUGAUAGUAUAAGGCCUGAUAAAAAUUUAUACUAUACAACGUUUGGUGUGACAUUGUAUAAUUUAUCGUAUUGUUUAACAUAAUACAAUCCAAUGUUUGAUGAAGUAAUGAAUAAUGAUGGAUAGUAUAAAAAUUAAUUAUUUAUACAAAAAUGCCCUUUAAACAAAUUUUAUAAUACUUGCAAAAAUAGUUUGUAGAUUCAAGGUACAAAUAAUUUAACAAUCUUCUAAACAGCAAGAUAGAAAUAUUUUUGAUCAAUUAAAAUAACGUGUCACACCUAUAGUCCCAAACACCAAAUGAUCAAAACCAAACCAAGAGGAUAUGCAAGUUAUAGUACGACCCUACAGUACUCGAGAUCAUUCGGUGGAAGGCCAUGGAACAUUCAAGCUUGUUUGUCUCCAAAAUAUCUAAGGCACAAAUUUCAUAGAGCACUGUGUUAUUUUUCUUUGAAUCUUUGAUGAUAUAAGGUUAAAAACAACCCCAGAGGGUCAAGAGAUUACAGAAAUAAGGUUCUGGAAAUUUUCCGACGAGUCUUCACCGGAGAAGAAGGCUGAUGACGGCGGAAAGCGGCGGCGAAACUCGCCGGAGAUGAAAAGGAAAAAGGGGAUCGUUCCUCUCCUCAAUCUGAUUACUAUGGUGACAGUUUUGUGGCCUAUUGAGGUUGGAGAAGAGAGAUAUUGUCAGUUACAGGUCGAGUUGCUCGCCGGGGAAGCAUCCAGAUCGCGGCGGAUCUUCCUUCGAUAGGCGCUCUUGGGUUGUUUCUCUUCGUGUUGGAGUUUAGAAGUGGUGAUUUUAUUGAGGUUUUGGGGCUGGUUCGAGAGCCACAAAUCCCACAAUUGAUUUAAUUAGUCCUCAUCUCAACCUCCCAGCCAAGCGUAUUUUUCAAAUUGUAGAGGUAUCACAAUAUAUGAAUAUGGUAUCGAACAAAUUCCCCUCACAAUAAUCACAUCACAAAGGCAACAAAUAAUUACUCUAGCUCUUAAUUUGGGAGGAAAAAAAACAGCGUGAAAAGGAGGAAGAAUAGGAAUUGGGGUUAGGAGAAAAAAUAGAAAAGAGGAGGAAGAAGAGGAAGGUUACAGGAGCAAAAAGAGGAAGAAAGUAGAGAGGAACGUGACAAUAGGAAGAAGAGGAAUGUCGAUGAUGAACCUGUGAUGAAAGAUAAAUGGGGCUAGGGUUGGAAUAUUUUUAAGUAGCUAAUACAUCAAAUCUUAUCAGGUCUUAUCCUUCCUUUGGGUGAUGGAUUAAGUUAUCCAUCAUUUUAAUGUAUUAGAAGGGAUUGAUGGAAAGAGUUAUACAAUACGAUGUAUGCACCAAACAACUGAUAAGCUCAUAAUGUAUUGUAUAAACUUAUACAAUCAGGCCUAAUACGGUGUACCAAACGGGCCCUAACUAACAAUGUUUUUCACAAUUGAUAAAUUAAUGCUAUCCUAUCAAGGCUAUCACUAUCACUCUAACAGAUCUGGUCAUUCUGGAUCUUAAUUUUAUACCUAAAAAAAUUAGUUAAGGUUUGAGGAGCCGUUUACUAUGGGACACUUUUUUGUGGUCCAUGGUUACACCACCUGCUAGUGCAGGUCCAGCAGGUAUUUUUAAAUUUUUAAAAAAUAAAAUACUUAAUAUAUUAUAUAUAAUUAGUUAUAUAGUUAGUAAUUUUCUUAAUAUUGAUUUGCACUAACUGAGUUAGGUAAUUGUAUCAGUAAAAAAAAAAUUUGGAACAUAAUUAAUACAACUUAAACAAACUACUAAUUGGGUCAUGUAAUUAAUACAUACAACUUAAACAAACUAACACAAACUACAAUAAAUUUUCCCCUCCUUUCUAACUGAAAAUAACCCAAAUUCAUAUCCCGAUUCACCCCGAUUCAUUCACAUUCAUCAUCACCAGCUUUCUUCUUUCUUCCUCGUGAACAACUCCAGGACGGCUAGGGUUCAUGAGGUUUGAUUCUCAUCUUCAAAUCCUAUCCAGAUCUGACGCCUCCCUUCUCGGCAGCUUUCUUCUUUCUUCCUCAUCAACAGGUUCGUUGUCGCUUUUACCUUCUCAUUACUGCAUCUUCCUUCUGUGAAUGAUGUUGUAGAGGUUUUAUUGCUUUCACCUUCUAAUGAAUGUGUUCGAUCUGGGUUUCCUAUGCAGUAGUGUGGAACGGGUUGGUUAGGCGGUGGGAACGGGUUCGCUAGUGGGAACGGGUGGGUUCGGUGGCUGUUGAACAUGUCCUUCCCAUACCCAGGAGUCUAGGUCGAACACUCUGAUAGAUGAUGCAGCACUUGGUUCCUCUGCGCUUCAGGUAACAGCUAAAUUGCAUAAUAUGGUUUCCAGUGGCAAAGUGUUUCAUUCCUUGAGAAGUGUUGUGUGAUUUUAAAUUAAAUUAUAGCAUCUUGUUUUCUUAGUAUAUGGGUUGUUUGAUUUGGGGAAAUUUAUUUAAUUUUACUGCGCCAGGGUCCUCAGCAUGUUGUUGGAGUAAUGGUUGAAGGAGGGGAAGGUGAUGUACAUGUCUUUGUUGAUGAGGAACAAGGGACUGAUGACGUUCAGGAAAGUGGAGAAGAAGGAGAAGAGCAAGGGACUGACUAUGAUGAAGAAGAUGAAAAAGAGUCUGAAAAUGGGGUUGAAGAACAAAAUGUUGAUGUGGAGCCGCCAACUGAGAUUGCUAUCAAUGGUUUAGAAGAUUUGGGGAUGGUAAAUUUCAAAGAACUAUCUGUCAAUAACAUAGUCACCUAUCACUUUCCGGAUCGUGAGGUUGCUUACUUGUUCUACAGUUGGUAUGCUCGGAUGCAUGGAUUUGCUGCGAGGAAGGCUAAGGUUCUAAAAAACAAUCACGGAGAUGUAAUCCAACAGAGAUUUGUUUGCUUCAGGGAGGGUAAAAGGAUAGAGAAAGCUGAGCCAGAGGUUGAUGCUCAUGCUGGUGAAAAGAGAAAGCGUUUUCCGAAAAAGGCCACAAGAUGUGAGUGUAAGGCUUAUUGUCAGGUCCAUGUUCAUAAGGAUAACAAGCGUUGGCAUGUUAGAUCUGUUUGUGAUGAUCAUAAUCAUGUACUUGUUGAAGAAAAUUUGAUUGGAUUGGCACCUACUCAUAGGAGAAUGAAUGAGGCCGACAUUACUCAAUUGAAUUGCUUUAGGAAGUCAGGCAUUACAACUCCACAGGCUUAUGGUGUGUUUGCCAACCAGAUGGGUGGAUAUCAAAAUGUUCCAUUUGGACCUAGACAAAUGUACAAUGAAAAAUUUAAAAAGAAGAAGGUGGAAGUAUGUGAUGCUAGAGGUGUGCUCGGUUUCUUACGUAAUUUGAAGGAAAAGGAUCCUGACUUGAUGUGGAAACACACCUUUAAUGAGGAAGGAAGGUUGGACAAGUUGUUUUGGAGUGAUGGAAUCAGCCGGGACAACUAUUUGUUGUUUGGGGAUGUGUUGGCAUUUGAUGCCACAUACAAGAAAAACAAGUACAAGCGGCCACUUGUGAUUUUCUCUGGAGCUAAUCAUCACAAUCAGACAAUUAUCUUUGCUGCAGCUUUAGUUUCUAAUGAGAAAGAGGAGACAUAUGUUUGGUUGCUUCAGAAUUUGUUAGAUGCAAUGCGGGGGAAAGAACCGGUAUCAGUGAUCAUAGAUGGAGAUCCAGCAAUGAAAAAUGCGAUUAAAAGUGUGUUUCCAAAUGCGCAUCACAGGUUAUGUGCUUGGCAUCUUCUUCGGAAUGCAGUUAGCAAUGUUGCAGAACCAAAGUUUGUUCAAAUGUUUUCAAGAUGCAUGCUAUGCGAUCUUGAAAUUGUGGAGUUUGAGGACAGAUGGGCUCAAAUGGUUAUUGAAUGUGGGUGUGAAGACAAUGUUUGGGUUCAUGAUUUGUAUGAGCGGAGGAUGAUGUGGGCUGCUGCAUAUAUGCGGGGUGAAUUCUUUGCGGGCUUUCGUACAACCUCUCGGGUUGAGGGAUUACAUGCCCAAGUUGGGAAGUUUGUAGACUCAUGGAACAAUUUGACAGAUUUUAUGCACAACUUCUUUCGAUAUAUGAGUUAUCAGCGACAAAGGGAACUUGAAGCAGAUUUUGCAUCAAUGCACGGUGACCAUGUGCCGCAAACACAAUUGAAGAGGCUUGAAAAAUCAGCUUCCAACCAUUACACGAACAACAUUUUUAGGCUUGUCUCUAAGGGUCUUCACCGGUGUUUGAUGCUAAAGGUUAGUCUUUUCAAGGAGACUUCAACUUGCAUCAUUUACUUUGUUUCAAGGUUUUCUUUGUCUAGUAGGAAAUGGAAUGUGACUCUGUGCAAAAAAAACCAGUGAGUUCAAAUGCUCUUGUAUGAGGAUGGAAUCAUAUGGCGUUCCAUGCGAUCAUAUUCUUGCUGUUUGUAGAUAUCUAGACCUGCCUGGAAUUCCCUCAUCAUUAAUUAUGGGGAGAUGGAGCAAGUAUGCAAAAGAUGGGCUUGAGCUGCGUGGGGAACAAUUGGGUGCAUGGGACCCCAUGGAUAUGUGUAGAUUUACAGUAUUGAGGGAAAACUGCAGGCGAAUGUCUAAAGCAGCAUGUAGAGCACCAGAAACAUUCCGGGACACAAAUGAACCGGUUCUAAAGCAAGCAAGGAAGUUGGAGAAAUUGGAGAAAGGUGAUGGAGUGAAACAAACUGUGAAUAUGGUGGCCAACGAUGUUGAACAAUACUUGCGUGACCCACUCAAACCCAUCAAAAGGCGCAUUGGUGGUGCUUCUAGAGGUAGUGGACCGGGGAGGCGUACUUCCCACUGUGGUCUUUGUGGCGGAGCAAGCCAUAAUCGGAAAACAUGCCUACGGGCCACACAGUGAAGUGAGUAUUUAUGUACAUGGUUCUGUUAGGCAUUGAGUAUGCAAUAUAUGCAUAGAAUUGUAAAAUUACAUAUACGGUCACUAUUUUGCUUUCUACCACUGUUACCACUGACUUCUAAUUUGCCUCUGUUUUUUGUCAUCUCACAGGUGGGGCUGCACUAUUGGAAGGGAAUCACACACUAUCUAUCUUGGAAGGGGAACCUCGCCGGUGGAUGUUGGGUGCUCUGAGUAGCACGGUUGUUUCAGUAAUGUUAUUCGUGGAUUUGUAAUGUUCUUUUUCAUAAAUUGGUGUGGAUUUGUAAUGUUUUAUUUGAACUAUCAGUACUUUAAAUUGUCUGUUUUUAAAAUUCCUGGUACAAUAUGCUUGUUACAUUUGACAUGGUAUGUACUAAAUUGUGUAUUUUACUUGUAAUAUGUGAGAUGUGUAUUUCACUAGUAAUUUGUGGGGUUUGGAAAUGGUUUUCAAACAUUUUUAUGUGAGGAGUGUGGUUUCAAACCACGGUUAUUCCUUGAGUUUCUAGUGAUAGGAAAUAUUUUUUAUGUGAGGGGUGUGGUUUGGAUGAGAUUAAAGGGAUUAAAACCUAUUAGAAAUCCCUUGAGAGUGAAGUGAAGAAGAGGUUGAAUUAAAUUAGUGUUAACUAUCAUAUUGGUCCCUGUGUUUGAGUCGCCGUCUGAGGUAAGUCCCUCGCCGGAAAAAUUAUUGUAAAAGAUCCUCUUCUUUAUAAAUCAUUUGGAGCAGGUCCUCGCCGGAGCCCGGAGCUCCGGCGAGUGAUGAUUUGGACCGGUGACAGGGCAAAAAAAGCUGACAUGGAUUUUAAAAAAAAUAAAAAAAUAAAAAAUUAAAUAACACUUCAGAAUAUUGGACCCAAUUAACAACAAAAAAAACCCUAAUUAAUUAAUAAAAUCAAUUCUCCCAAAGUAAUUCCCCAAAUUGUUCAAAAAGAAUUUCCCCAAAUUAACCCAAAUUUUCAGUCAUUCUAAUCAAAAUUAGUGUUCAUAUUUUGCAACCCAAAUCUUCUUCUUCUUCUCCUCAAAUUAGGGUUCAAUCCAAAUCCUGUUCUUCUUCACCACCACCAACCCCAGCAGCCUCCACCACUUGAACGUAGCAGAAGCACAAACACUGCAACAACGAUCUGGAUCUGAAUCUGAGUGCGACGGAGGACGAUCCUGGCGUCUCAAACCGCCGCCACCGCCGCCGACGAAGAUGACGGUGAUGAUGAGCAGCGUGAACGAAGAUUUCUUCCUCUCAUGUCGAUUUCUUCCUCCUCGCACCGUGACAGAGACCUCAAUCUCUUUCUCUGCCUUCGAUUUGCGCCGAUUCACAGCAAUGCUUGGGUUUGCAGGUUAGGGUUCCAUAUUGGUGGUAUUUGGGGGGUUUGGUUGAAUAUGGAUGAGGGUGGAUCCUUGGUGGUUCGAGGGUGGUUGUUUGUUCUUGCUUCUACCUUUGGUCGUAAAGUCUUGGAGGCAAUUCAAGUUGGUGACCAGAUUCUGUGUUCUGUGUAGCUGCUGCAUACCUGUUCUGUUCUGUUCUGUAUUGGGCGUGGUGUGUUCUUGUCCUCCCCUGUGCGUCUCUGACUUGCUAUUUGUUAUAUUGAUGUACUGAUUCGGUUGGGAUUGAGCCUCCUCCAUGUCGGAAGCAGAAGAAACUGUGGGUGAAGCCUGAUGAGUGGAUCUAUCAAGAGAAUGAAGAAUGAUGUUUUGGUUUUUCUGGAUCUAUCAAGUGGUUGAUCGAUCUCUUCACCUCUCUCUUCUCUCACCCAUGUUCUGGGUUCUUCUGGAUCCAAACUUAGAUUGGGGUGGGGAUUUCGGUUGGGGGUAGGGGUUGGGGUUUUGGUUUUGGUUCCGAUUGCAGGUGAGGGUGAGGAUGCGGGUUGGGGUUUGGGGGUGAAGUUGCGGGUUGGGGUUUGGGGUUUGCGGGUGAGGGUUGAGGUUGGGUGAGGUCGUGAGGGUUUGCAGGUGGGUGAGGGUGAGGGUGAGGUUGGGUGAGGGGGUUUAGAAACUGUGGGUGAGGUUUGAGGUUGGGUGUUCUGGGUUUGUGUUGUGCACUGGGUUUGAGGUUGGGGUGUUUUGAUGAUGAUGAUGAUUCUGGAGUGUUAUUUUUUGGGUUAAUUUGGGGGAAUUGAAGUUAAUUUGGGGGGAAAUUGAUUUUGUUAAUUGAUUUAGGGUUAGAUUUGGUAAUAUGUUUAAUUGUAGUUAAUUUGAUUAAUGAAUCUGACAUGUAAUUUUUUUUAAUUUUUUAAUAUUUUUUUAAAUCCACGUAAGCAUAACUAACACAGUCAGCGAUCCAAAUCAUCACUCGCCAGCUCCGCCCUCCGGCGAGGACCCGCUCCAAAAGUUUUUCAAACACGGGGACUUUAGACCAAAUAUUUUCCGGGGAGGGACUUACCUCAGACGGCGACUCAAACACAGGGACCAAUAUGAUAGUUAACCCAUUAAAUUAAUACUAGUUAUUACAGAGGUUGAAUAAGAACCAAUUAAUACUAUUUAAUACUAGUUAAUACAGAAUAAUACCAAAAUAAAAACCAAUAACUACUUUAUUUGGUUGCCAACUUGCAAUCCCUUGAAUUUCUUGAAUUAGGUUCAUUUUUUACUUCACCCACUAUCUUCACCGCCAAUUCAAAAAGAAAUUACAAAAAAAUUCUCUUUUGGAUCCUUUUUUCCUUUUUUUUCUAAUACUAAUAAUUAUCCCAAAUUUAAAUAGUUUGGACCAAUUUUUUAGUUACUUACUCACUAAAUUUUCGAUACCCUCACUACCUAGUUUUAUUGUGUUAUGUUAAGUUGUAAUGGAAAAAUAUAUGCCCAACACAAAGUGAACUUCAUUGAAAUAGUAAUGGCCAUAAUUGGCUACAAAAUGGAAGAGGGACAAAGGGGAUGACAACAAAGGACAGAAGUAGAAAUUAUUUUGUUCACACGGGCACACACAGGCAUAGCAUUAUACUGAAUCCUUCACACAAGGCGGCCAGCUGCGCGCGAGAUCGAGAUAGCAAAAACAUCUUCAAAAACUGUUGGCAUGCAAUAUAUAUGGUCUCCAGGCCCAACAUGAUUCUCCACCUUGAAUUGAUACCAACCCUUAGCAAAUGAACACUGGUUUCCAGUGGCAUAGUGCCACGACACUUUGACAGUAUAAAGCUUCACAUACUCAUAUACAAAAAUGAUCUUCUCAUAUUUCCUAUCAAGCCACCUUUCUGCAAACCAUGCAGGGACCGCCUACAUGAAGUGAUGAAAAUAGCAUGAUUUAAGAAAAAAUUUAACAAGAUUUUAACAAGAUAAUAGGGGUGGAAAUUCAUGAAUGAAGUGAUGAAACCAUGGUUGUAAGAAAAUAUGCUUACCAAUGCUUGACCUUUUACAGCUUGAGACUUUGUAAUGGGUUUAACAAAGCCUGGACCAAAUGGAAUUUCACCUUCCCUAACCUCCUUCCCUACAAACCUUGGAUCAUUGCUUCGAAUCCAUCCAUAAGGGUAGUCAUCGGUACCAUCAGAAUCACUUUCAUAAUAAACAUCAGCAUCAGAAUCAGAUGAGAUGUCAAUAACCUCAGUUUCGUUUGGGGGUGGGAAUUGGCUAGAGCUGGCCAUUGAUAGACAAUUGAGAGAAGAGAAUGAGGAAAUAAUGGGAGAGAAGAAAGAAAGGAUGAGGUGACUUUAUAGAUAGGCAAUGGUGACUGUGGCUUUAAUAGAUGAACGACCUUAUGGGGGGGAGGGGGGCGGUGGGUGAGGACUUAGGGAAUGAUGGUGUUGGGAACACAAACAUGCAAAAAAAGCUGUUUUGACCACACUAGGAAACAGUAAAAAGUAGAUAUGACAAGAUUCCUUGACCAAGAAUCAUAGAGGGGGGGGGGGAGAUAUGACAAGAUUCCAUUCACCAAGAAUCAUUAAUGGGUGAAUUAAUAGCAUUGACUGACCGUCUAAUAGGGGAGGGGAGUCAUUUUUUUGUUCAAUAAGGGAGGGGAAUGGGGAAUUGAUAUCAGUUAAUAUGCAAGCAUUAAAAUUACAGUUACAAUGCAAACAUUAAAAUUACAGUUAAAAUGCAAACAUUAAAAUUAAAACAAAAUGCAAACAUUCAUCCAUAUCAUGGAAUUUAUUUCAACUAAAUGCAAACAUUCAACCAAAUCAAGGAAUUCAUUCUCAAGUAACUGAACAAAUAGUCCAUAGUGGGGGGGAGGGGGUUAGUUCAGGAUCCACCCAUCAGGUGACAAAACCUUGCAUUGCCUAUCAUAGGAAAUUCAAUGCAUUGUGUUGCCACCACCAAAUCCAAACCAUCAUUGUUGUAAAGUUAGAGUAUAUUACAUGCCCAAAAUCUGUGCAACACAUAUAUAUGCACAACAAAAUAAGCCAGCCAACUAUUAAAUCCUAUUGCUGCCUAUUAAAUCCUACUGCUGCCAGUGUUAAAAAUGCAGCCAACAAAAAAAUACACUUGCCCUUCAACCACAGACUUCACAAGGUCGCAACUACCCCUUCAACAUCAACAGUGUGACAUGCAUUCCAGAAAACAUUGGCCUUCUCCUCCAAGCUCCUCCGAGUGUCAUUGUGCUCACCACAUAACAGAGUUGUGGCAGUGUUCAUGCGAACAACCCUUUCAUUUGGCUAGCAUAAGAAAAAAAAACAGAAAUUAAUUCUCACAAUCCAACAAAACAGUCAUGAACCAUGCAGAUGACUAUUUACUUACAUAGCCAGAUUGAUUGGGAUUAAAUCCAGAACCCAAUUCAAGCCAACUUAACAACCACACAGCUGAAUCAUGGCUGCAGUAAACAUCAAAACAAGAAAGAGUUAACAAAACUUGACAAAAUUAUGAAAUUAGCAGUUUAAUGUUUAAUUUCAAUAAGGACUACCUGCUACCAGUAUUGAGGAUGCCCCUUGCUUCCUUUAGCUUCCAAGAAUGAAAAUCCACCAUUUUCCGGUAAAAAUUAGUUUCCACAUAUCUGUCAUCUGUGCUCAUCAUUUCAACCAAUGUGUUGCACUGAUACAAUAAAAGCAAACAAAUUAAAGUAUGAUGCUAGAAGGUAAAAAGUAUUCAGAUCUCCGUGAAGUAUUAUAUAAACAUUACCAAUGUUUUCAUGGAUGCACAUCUAACCGGUAUGUCCUCCACAUUAAGAUGGGAAUCCAAGUGGUAAUUGGUGUAAUCCCCAAUGGAAAUGAUGCACAAAUACCAAUGGCCAGAAACAGUCUUCAUAGGAAUGUAGAUCUACAAAUGCAAGUAAAUAUGUUAAAAGGUGCAUCACAAUCAUUAAUGAUAGGCAAUUAAGACAUAUUCUUUCACUUAUGAAACUUAAACAAAACUUACAUAUUUCAAAGUGUUGUAUGGAUACAUGAAUGGCCUCAAGUAUUCCUUACACAAUUUCUCAACAGAAAAGCCCUUGUAAACAUCCUCCUAUUUUAGGGGUGGGAACAUAUCAGACUUCAACCAAUAUGAAGAAUAGCAUGCAGAUAAGGAACUCUUUCAAAUCUUACCACAAAACAUGGGGGAAAGCACCAGAUAGUAUCAUCCAUGUGAUAGCUUUGUUCACGCAUGAUCUUGACAGCAACCAAGGUUAUAAUCUAUUUUGCAGAUUAAUAAACAAAUCAGACCCUAAUUAAAACACUAAUUAAUGCUAAUUAGAAACUUAAAUUAACCAGUAACCUUGUCAGUUAUUUCCUGUCCAGGGAUGAGGCAAUCAAAGUCCCUUCUCACAGCUUCAUAACGACCCAUACUCAGCAAAAGCUCACUGAGCAAAAAAUACCGCACAUUAAAAUAUCACCAAAAUACAACAUACAGUUAUAACAAAUUGGAAUAAUUAUUCAACAUACUCUGGGUCACUUUCCUCUUCGAACAAGUAUGUAGCAACCUGAGUAUCAGUCAAUAACAAGUCCAGCUCUUCAGGGACUUCAAACUUUGGCCUGGCACUCUGACAUUACAAAACAUGAACUAAACUUAAUCAGGUUUGAAAUAAAAAUAAAAUAACAGCAAUAUUUGCAAUGCAAAAACCGUAGUAUACCUUUGGAACAAGUGGACGAGGUAAAGGGCGCAUGUAGAGCAUCGCUUGGGUCAUUGGAUUGAUUGAUUGGGGGCCAGUGAUAGGACUUCGAAAAGUAGAUGAAGAGCUAGUAGCUCUUUUGGAUGAGGGUGGGGUGACAAACAGCAUAGACCUUGUUUGCUCAACUUCUUGCCUAACAAAGGCACCAACAAGUCCCUACAAUUUAGCAGAUCUGAUUAGUUACUUAACAAUAAAAAAAAUGCAGAAAGAGGGGUAACAAUUUAAUGAACAUACCUCUACAGAUGUAGCACUUCUGAAACUUUUUUGUAGCCAAGGUGUAAGAAUGCCUUUGCUUGGGUUGGAACCAGCAGAGUCUGUAUUUUUUUCUUCACCUUCAUUCUUCUCAAAGUCCAAAUCAAUGUUGAUUACAUCAUUUUUCAGGAUCUCAGAUGUUGCCCUUGCAUUUUUUCUUUUCUUUUUACAAGCAGCAGACUCAGCAUGAGCUUUAGACUUAAUACCACAUUUUGGGGUUGAUUCUCCAAGGUUUGGUUUGUCAACCAUGCUGAGAAACUUGUCUACCCUCUCCAUGUUACCAUGCAUAACAGUCUGGAUCUGGUGAAAUUCCUCUAGACGAUGGUCCACUUGUUGGAACUUCACCAUAGCUGCCUUCACAGACCCAGCAAGAUCCAUGACAGUAGCGGUUAGUUGUUUAACAUCACUAGACAACUGAGUUUGAUGAAGAGGCUCUACCCUAGCCUCAUCAGUCAAGGUAUCAAGGCUGAAAAUUAAAAAAACAGAAGAAAUAAUGGGAAAAAGUUAUUUGUGGAAGACAAUAAAUGAUGGAUAAAUCAACCAACAGCCAGAAUAACUAACCUUCCUUCCCCUCCAUUCAAUGGAGUAUUGAAGCUAGGUUCAUCAUUGGGCAUCUUUCCAGGGUUAGUUGAUGACAUCACUAAGUAAACUUACAAAAAAUCCCAAAUAGUUAAAAAGAGGAUAGAAGAGAAGAGUGUGAAUAGCCUUCAACCGAAUGUGGGCAUUGGGGUGAAUAGCCCUUUAAUAGAACAGAAAUUAGGGUUUAGUAACAUGUAAACAAGUCAAGUCAGGUCACUUUCAAAUUGGUCGGGGACCCCACACGUGAACUAGGUAUAUAAACUACAUAGUUACAUAGUACUAAGAUUUUCCUUAAAAAGUACUAAGAUUAUAACCAGAAGCAAUUACCUACAUUCAGAUUACUAUAUUAUGUGUGAAUAAAGGACCCCACAAUGAGGAAAUUUAAAAUUUAAAUUAGAAUAGGUCAGAAGAAAGCAUUAACACAAGUUAAAUUAUAAAUUGGAAUACAAAAUACAACACUGGGGUCCCAACAAUGGUCCAUUAAACAUAGGAAAGACUUAAUACAACAGAACUCCCAAAAGAAAUAAAACACUUAAGACAUUUAGGAAACCACAUAGAGAGUGGCCAUAAUUCCAAUGAAAAUACCAAAUAAAACACAACACAUGGUAAUCCACAGCCACUUUAUUGCUCCACCAUCCCUCUUUUUCUCAACCCCACAGCCUUUGAGAGGCUCACAAACUCCAUCUUUUACAGCCUCGCUCAAUGUAGGACACAUUGAGGCUGCAGAUGGAGUUAUGGUUGAAGAAGAUGGACGAAAGUGUAGAUCACCCUCCCAGUAAACAUGUCCCAAUUCCCUUGCUGUUGUCCGAGGAAACUUUGUCAUGGAUUCCUUGGCCAAAAAUUUCAUCCACGCGCUGGCAGCCGCCUCACAAGUGGAGUAUUUUUCAUGAAUGUUCCCAGGGUAGCAAUAGACUUGGCGAUGUACUUCGGCCCAAGUUUUGUAAAUGCCCGGUUCUCUACCCACAAACACAACGUAUUUCCCCAUUCCCUCACUACUUGGUGUUUCCAUUUUUUAGAAGCUCUAUGUAGGACUGUCCCAACCGUUGGUUAUAUAUAUCUAAGAUAGAUAUAUCUAAGAUAGUAAUUACAAUAUUUACUAUGUACCUAACUCUAACAUAACAUAUUAUAUUCUGUGAGUGAACCACAUAGUGACAAGCCUCUGCACGCUGACAGAUAGCCUGUGGCGGAGGGGCAGGGUAGGCUUUACCCUACGCCUGACCAAACGGAAGACAGCUGUGUUAAUUCACAUUCAAGUUAAAGCACAUCACGUGCUUAGUUACCUGAACACGCAUCAUGCGUAUCUGAUGCGUCUCAGCAAAGGAGAUGAGGGUAGAAGACAGGUGAGAAGGGACAGAUGAGUGUACAAAAAAGGUCAGAAGGGACAUAUGAGAUAAGACUUAAAUAUUUAAUAAAUAUUUAUAAUUCAUUAAUAAUCUUUUAUUAUCUACAAAUAAAUAAAUAAAUAAUUAACAAAUAUAAAUAUUAUUUCUAACAGAAUAAUAUAAUAACAAAUAUUAAUAAUUAAAAAAUAUUAAUAAUAAAUGCAUAAUAAAAAUAUUUAAAUAUUAUUUAUUACAAUAUAAUAAAUAAAAAUCAAUUUUUAAUAAAAACAAAUAUUAAUAAAUAAAAAAUAUUUAUUAUUUUAAUUUAUUAUUUUUUAGAAAUAAAUAUAAAUUAUUUUGUUUAUUGAUAUUAUUUACAGUAUAAUACAUAAAAACAAAUUUGUUUUUUUUUUUGGUAAUAAAAAACAAAUUUGAUUUAAACGGACCUGAACAAUUUUUUUUUGGCCCGGAUUGAAGAGGCAAAAAAAAUAAACCAUCUGGGCCAUGACAAAAAUACAUAUACUUACAAAAACUUGGCCCACUUCGCUCGACCAGCUCCUUCAUUCUUCAUUUUCAAAAAAAAAAAAACGUGCUCCUCCUUCAAGCAUACCCAGAUUAUCCUGGUAUUCAUGUCUUCGCCAUAACCUGGGUUUCAUGUCUUCACCGUUAUCCUUCAAGCACACCGAGAUCCUCCCUUGUUUUAACACAAACAGAAAGUGUUACUGUUAGUAUUCAUUCAAUCCAAUAAUUGAACAAAGUAACGAAAAAACCAAAAAUACUUCGAAUCACAAAUUAACAAAGUGUUUGCAGGAUAACAUCUUCGCAUCCCAUACAUGCACUACUUAAUUUCAACACUUGAAAUCUCUUAUUUGAAAACCCCCAAAUUCAACCCUAAUUUCAGAAUAAUGUCAAAUCCCUAAUUUGAAAACCCCUAAAUUCAACCCUAAUUUCAGAAUAAUGUCAAAUCCGUAAUUUGAAAACCCCCAAAUUCAACCCUAAUUUCAAAUUGACUUCAAUUCAAUAAUUUGAAAACCCAAAUUUCAACUCUAAAACGGAUCAAAAUCGCUUUAAUCUAGCAGAACCCCAAAAUUGAACCAAAUAAUUCUCUCUUGUUCAUGCAGUAAUUAUUUUCAAAAUCACCUUAAUCUGGAAAAAACCCAACAAAGAAAAACCAAUUUCAGAACUCGAAAACGACACUUAGAUCACCAACUUGUUUCAAAAAUUUUAAAUCCUAAACUUCAACAAGGAGAAGGGGAUGAGAAAUGAAGAACUUACACUUCGGUGGAAUGAGAAAAGGAAACGCGAUGUGUGACAAAGGGAUUCGCUAGAUCUGGAGACGAAUCCACCCAUGGAAACCGGAUUCGAUGUUGGGCUUCGAAUGAAGGUGGGUUUUCAACGGAUGGUGGGUAUCAAGGGAGGUGGGUUUCGAGGAAGAGAACAGGCGACGCUAAACGAACGAUCUCGGCCUUCGAUGAAGGUGGUUGGAGGAAGAGGAAAGGCGACGAGAACGCUAGAUCUGGAGGUGGGUUGCGAUGAAGGUGGCCAUGAACCCUAAAGAGUUCUCGAGAACAAAAGGCCAAAUGAGUUUUUGUGUUUGAUUUCUGGGGCGUAUGGGUUGAAAAUGAAAGUGAUUUAGAUCUGAUUUUGAAAAUUAAAGUGAGUGGGUAGUUGGAGUAAUUGAAGUGAGUAAGUGGGAGACAAUUAAUGAUUUGUUGGUGUAAUUAGUAGGAGUAAUUAAGUAAUUAACUGAUUUACCUUAUCAUUUUACCUCCCCAAUUACCACUAUGAUUUACCUUCAAUUAACUACUAAUCUUUAUUUACUAAUUAAAUCAUUUAUGGUUUAUAAAUUAAUUAUUUUGUUUUCAAAUAUUUAAAAAAUACAAUAUUACCUAUGGUAUCAGGUCAACCGGGAGUGGUGUAACAUUAGAUCACAAAAAACUGGUCCAUAAUAAAUAAAUCCAAGGUUUGAUGUGUACUUUGUAUUUUUGGGGUGAACAUCAAUAAAGAAAAGAAAAAUAUGACGCAACUCAUGUUGGCCCCUCUAGAGGCUGGGACAAAGAUGAUGAGAUGUUAAGAUACACUUAAGAGAUGUUAAGAUACACUUAUUCUUCAUAUUUUAUGAGUAAUGUUUCAUCCACACCUCUUUUUUAAGGUGGAGAGGAAGGAGAGGUGAAAUGGUGAGAGAGAUAAGAAAAAAGGAAAAAGUAAGAGAGAGAGAGAAAAUAUGAGAUGUGAUAGAUGAGAGAGAUAGAAAUAAAAAUAGGUGGAAAUGAAGUGUUUAAAAAAUGAGGUGUGUAUAUAUCAUUACUCAUAUUUUAUACACAAUACUUGUGAAUUGGUUAAAGACUUCUAAGUUGCAAAACUUACCUAAGUUGGAUGAGUGACGAUCCUCCUCUAAUGGCCCCUUAGGUCGUGGCAAGUAAACGAUCCCAGCAAGAAAUCUCAAGGCAGACUUAUACAUACUCUUAGGUUGGUUAGUCGAAUUUCCAAGACUCUUUAGUGAUUCACUCAGGACCAAACAUGUCACUGCAUUUUAGGGUGUCCUUUCCAAGCGUGGGAAGUCAUCCUCUCAUUUUAGGAACGAUCCAUGUAUAUGAUUUCCCUAUAUAUUACUUACUUUGUGUAUGGACUUGCAAGCCGUAUUCAUAUAAGGCACAAUGGACCAAUUAGAAAUUAGGUUUAGGGUUUACACUUUUUCUACUACAAAAAAAAAGUUUCACAUGUAAUGAUGAUGUUUUUUCACUUGACUUAAUACAAAACGACGACUAGGUCUAAAGAUGUUUUGAAUACGCUUAUAUCCUGUGUGACAUUUUUUUUAUUUAAUAUGAAUUUUAACUUUAGGCUAAACAAUAAAGUAAUAUGAUUAUGUUUUUUUUUUAUAAGCCAUGAAAUAUAUUGAAUAAAGUAAUAUGAUUAUGUGGUUGGAGGGAAUAAAUAGAAAAAAAAGACACAGCAGAGUAGAAAAGGUUGGACUGAAAUUAUAUCGGAAGCGUGAAGCAACACCAACCAAAGCUUGCAAAUUUGUCUGAAACAAUAAUCGCAUGUUGGAUUUCCUCACUCUCACACUCCCUACAUGGCUACGCUUUCGCUCACUCUCAACUGUUGCUGUUGCUGGAGCACCGUGAAGUAUGCUCACACCAUAUAUCCUGCUCCCAUCAUCAAUCUCCUUCACAGUUAGUCUAAACCUUCUUACACCAUUUUUAGUAACCUUUAUUUACUGGAUUUCUCUUUAGUUUCAUAGUUUUAUUGAUGCAUUUCCAUUUGCCCAAUCAAUUUGUGUUUAGUGAUUGAAGAAACUAUAUUGUCUUUUUUAUUUUUUCAUAGGGAGAAGAUAUAGCACAUGUUCUUUUGCCAAGAAGAGAUUGAAGAAAUCUAAUAGAGAUGUACCAGAAACAUUUGAGGAUCUCUCAGAUGAUAAAUUUGUUCAAAAUGACAACUUGGACACUUCUCUUAAUCCAGCUGCUCAGAAUUCUAACCCCAUGCCUUCUAGGAAUGCUGUGCUUCAAGCUUGCACAAUAACUUCUGCUCUGAUAGCGGCUGUCGGAAUAGUGAUUCGGCAGGUGCUCUUCCUUUUUAAGCAUUACUUGAUUGAUCUCUUUUCCCCAAUUUUAGUCUAUUUUAACAAUAUAACUUUGAUUACAUAUGAAACCUGUAUAUGUUGUAUUCUUGCACCAUAUUAGUCUGGAGAGGUUAAAUUGACAUUGAAAGUUAUAUCCUUUAGAACUGAGUUGUUAAUUCGGGACAAAGUUGUGUUUCUUUUUCCUGGAAAAGAGUGUUUUCAAAUUUAUCACCAUUUGGUUAAAGCUUGUUAGCAAGGGAAAUUUGCAUAAACAGGAUGUUAUGCCUAUUUGGUACUUCAUUUAGUUUUUGCAACUUGCAGGUAUCUCAUAUUGCAUCAAUAGAGGGAUUGCCAGUCUUGGACUGCUCUACCGAAGUCUCAUGUAAUACACUCAUGUUUAAUUCUUGCCAUUAGUUUUUGGUCCAAACUUCUACUUAUUGUCUUCUAUUUGAAGGGAUACUUAAAUUCACAAAAAAAAUUGUGUGUCAAGAGCUAUUUUUGGACUCUUAAUUGCAUUGCAUAGGAUAACUGGUCUCCUCAUACAUGUGCUGUUAACAUAAACCAGUGUUGAUGUUUGUGAUUUGUGAAAUAUUUAAACGUAUAUGGAAAUGAAAGUAUAACCUUCCUUGUGUAUACUUGUGUGCACCUGCGUGCUUUGGAGCCGGGCUACACCUGCAUGGAUUUUAUUUAUUGUGACAUUUUCAUGAAUACUGACCUGAAAUACAAACUAUCUCAUCUUCUUCUUGUGGAACUCAAAGGUUAAGAGGACAUGGCUCCUAAGUUCUAAUGGGUUUAAUCAUGGAAAUUCAUGAUUAAGAGAAGUUUGUAUAAUUUUCUUGUCAAGUGCCAGUAGCAAAUAUGAAUGUGCAUGUGUCUUGGUAAAUACAUCUUAAAUAUGUUGAAUUUUUUUAUUAUAAUGCAUGAAGUAUCCUAAGAAUUUUUUUCCCCUUUUAUCUGCAGUUGGUUUUGAAACGUGGCAUCUUGAGUUGAUUACAGGACUUGUAGUGUUAAUAUCAUCAUGUCGUUUUUUGCUAUUGAAGACUUGGCCGGAUUUUGCCGAGUCUAGUGAAGCAGCCAAUCAGCAGGUUAGUUAAUCGAACCAUGGUUCUGGAAAUGCUCUUUAAGAUUUUGUUAACUUUGUUAUUAGUGGGUUUCCAUUUAAAUCUUGAAUAUUCCAAUUGUAGGUGAUAGUAAUUUGAGUUAAUAUUUAUGCCAGAAUCUGACAGGAAAUGGUUCCAAGCUAAGAUUACUUUUCUUGCAAGCCUUGUUUUCUUUUGUCAUUUUUGUGGUUCUGUGUUUGUAUCAGUAUUCAGAUGCUUUGCUUUUACCAAAAAAAAAAGAUGCUUUGCUGAACUCUUGAAACAUUUUUCUUUCCCAAUCAGGUUCUCAGCUCACUCCAGCCUUUGGAUUAUAUUGUCGUUCGCAUUUUUUCCUGGAAUUAGUGAGGUUAAUAGAGCGCUACUCUGCUUGGCUUAUUUCACCUUUUCUUAUUUACUUUCAUUAUUUGACUGACAUCACAUGCUACCAUCUCAAAUUCCAGGAACUACUUUUCCGAGGCGCGAUUCUGCCACUUUUUGGAAUGAAUUGGAAGAGUAUUGGGGUGGCUGCCUUGGUCUUUGGUGUUUUGCACCUAGGCAAUGGUCGAAAGUAUUCCUUUGCCAUCUGGUGAGAUAUCUUUCUAAUUUCUUCCCCCCGCUCCUGCCCCCUCUUUUCUCUCUCUUUCUUCCUACUUGUAUUGCUGUUCCUAGAUCAUAUAUACUUUCCAUUAUUAUGUUGUUACUUGUUAGGCAUGAGAAUUAGAGAAUAAGACUGUUGUUUGUGUUUCAGGGCAACCUUUGUCGGUCUCGCUUAUGGAUAUGCUACAAUUUUAUCCUCUAGCGUUGCAGUUCCCAUGGCUUCUCAUGCAGUGAACAACCUGAUUGGAGGGCUAUUAUGGCGUUACACAUCAAAUACAUCGAAGCAGAAAUGAAAAAUUGUCAUCUUCAUAGAUACGUCACCACCACAUCUAUGUUUUGCAACCUCCUCCCUGGGGUUUGAUGUAAUGUGUACAAACAUUAUGAUGCAGAAAUUCAGAUCACAAGAGGCCAUUCCAUGAGGUUCGUUUGCAAUUUGCAAAUGCAGCAACUAAUUUAGCGGCACUGCUUUCUCCGCCAUUUUCAAGGAAAAAUUCAAGCUUGUAUAUUACUUACAGAUUAUAGAUUUUUUUCUGUUAUAAAUCUAUUGAAAAAUAUGUUUUGGAAUUUACUUACCGUAAAUAGAUAACUGUAAUUUUGUAAUGUAAGUGGGGUUGCUUGGGUUGGUUAUUACCUAUUUGGAUUUUGGUUUGUGACUUCCAUUUUUGGAAUAUGACCUUAUUGACUUAGGAUUAAACCUUUGUUUUUGUUACCCUUUGAAGGAAUAUUACUCUAAAAAUAAAAUGGCAAACAGAACAAACAGAAAACCAAAGCACCCGCGUUUAAGACGAGUUGUCCAUCCUUCUCCCUAUUCCUCACCUCUUUAUAAAAUGCAACAUUCCAACCUGUUUUUUUAUUCAUUCAAUUCAUCUCAACCUCUUCUCUUCCUUCUUUUUUCCUUCUCAUCUUCUUUGUUGUCUAUUCCUCUUUCCCAGAAGUUUGGGUAACCACCACAUAUCUCAAAGCUUCAACCUAUGGCUUCGGUAAGAUCCUUCACACCAUUUCAUUUUCCAAUCGUUGAUGUAAUGAUUUUGCAGUGAUUCUUGUUUAUGAUGAUGUGUAUUUAUUUUUUUCUGCCAUUUCUGUGAAGAGAUGAAUCAAUGUGAAUUUAUAAAUUAUGCAUUUGCAGUAUGAAAACCAAGGAAAGCCUCUACCCAAGUUCGGGGAAUGGGAUGUGAAUGAUCCUGCCUCAGCUGAAGGAUUCACUGUUAUAUUCAACAAGGCCAGAGAUGAGAAAAAAACUGGUGGAGGAGGAUCCCAGCGCAUUACGUCGCAACGAAGAUCCGAUUCGCGCAAGGAUGAUGAUAAAUCUUCCAAGGUAUGUACAUAUCAAUUAUAGGUGUUUAUAUAUUUUAUUUCAAUAAUGAUAUUUGAACAUACAGACUACGCAAACACUCAAUAGACACCUUAUUUUUCCAAUAGACACCUGAUUUCUCGCUCUGGGUUGGGUGUUUGUUAGAUGUCUCCACUAUGUGAAUGUCUACAAAUCACUUUCGAUUUCCUUUCUGCAAUAACAAUAACAAUUAUGCCUAUUAUGAAGCUGAACAUGUUAUUGUGCAUGAAUGUUUUGUUACAGAAAAAGUGGUUUUGCUUUAAACCUUAAACAAGGAUGAUGUCUGUUAUGCUGCUUGGGACGGAUAACAUGAUUCUCUUCAGUUUUCUUCAGAGGCCACAUUUGUUGCCAGAUCACUGAUUAGAGAUGAUGAAAAGAAUGAAAAUAGUUGCAGCCUGCUGGAAUCCCUGGUUUAACUUCUAGUUGUUUCCUUGUUUUCUACCCUUCGCCACCUAAUUCAUACAUUUAAUUAAUGGAUUUAGCUACUUGUACGCACCAGCCCCAAAAGCAAAUAUGUAAAUAGGUGUAUCAAUGACUAUUUUAUUAUGCAAUUACAGAGAGGAGAUAAAUGAGUUUUUAUUAUAUUCAUGAAUCAUGAUGUUGAUGCGCUCAACUAGGGGAUUUUGGUCUUUCGAUUCUUUUAGCUCAUGCCAUGUUUGUAGGAGGGGCGUCUUCUAUUUAAAUAUGGCCAAUUACAACUGGAAUUGUUGUUGAAUGAAGACAAGAAGUAGUUCUCUGCACCAGAAGCAUAUUGCUAACCAUGUUUGGUUGAAAACUUGCAAUAGAUGGUAUAGUAUAUGCAUCGAAAUUAGAAUGCAUGUUUAUUAUGUAAUAAGACUUUUCUAUAAAAUUGAUACAAUGCAAUGUCUUUUAACACUAAUUUGACAAAAUAAAUCACAGAAGAAAAGGCAGAAUGAUGUAUAAACAUCAUUACUUAUUACUCCAUUUGGGUGAAUACUAAUGUAAAACUAACUAAGAAAUACACGGUUUUCAAGACAAAAUGUGAAUGAGAGUUAAGCUAGUCUUUUGACUCUUUACCAAUGAUUGGUGAAACUCCUCUUCAAAAUUGAGAGAAUUUUUAGGUGAUGAAAAAUUAGUUAUGAUUUAUAUAUUUGUUGACUAAUUUUUCUAUCUACCACAAACUUAUUUGUUUUUAUGUGAUUUUUAUAUCACAAUAUACUAUACAGUCUCAAUUUCAUUUUUUUAUUCAUUGCAUUUAACUUUCUUUUUCAUCCAAUUUCCUUUAAUUUUUUCUUUCAUUUCUCUCUUCUAUUCAAAUAGAGUAUUGCUAUAUGGCACUACAUUUCUUGAGCACGAUUACCACGACCCAAUAUAUUCAAUCAUUGACGAAAAUCAUGUUGGGUGUAUGAGUGAGAAAAAGAUGAUUUUACAGAUAAUCUAACGGUGGACAAUUAGUCGUUCAUGGUCGUGUGAUAAAUCAGUAGUGUCAAAAAUCAUUUCCCCUUCAAAUAACACCACUCAUCGUAUCUCUAAUUUCUCUUACUUCUCCCUAUGUCUUUGUGGUUGUGGGUAAAAAUGAAGUAUCAACUAAACAUUUUAUCUUUUCAUAACGGUUUUUCCUCUAUUUCUAUCUUCCACCAUCUUUAUUUGGUUGAAGUAGUUUGAGAAGAGAAAAAGAUGAUGAAGAGAGUUAGAGAAGAGAUAGGGGAGACAACCUUGUGUUGUAGUUGUAGAAGGGAGGGGGAGAGAAAGACGUGAGGGGGUGGGCCUCACCACCUUAAAGGUUCUCUACAAAUUGGGGAGAAAAGAUGUGUAUACAUUUGUUUAUAUUUUUUAAAUUUUCCCUACCAACAAAUUUUUAUUUAAUACUUAAUCUGAUAAAAUUGUCUUUAAACACAAAAAGAAACUUUGUCUUCUCCAUCUUAUUUAUCUUUCUAUCUAUUUCUCUCCUUUUUAUUUUUCUUCUAAAAUCAAACAAAUCAUUAGUGAAUAUAUAUAUAUAUAUAUAUAUAUAUAUGAGAUUAAAUUAUUAACUUUAUUUUGAUAUAAUAUUUGACACCUUACCUUUAGAUAAUAAUAAUAAUAAUAAUAAUAAUAAUAAUAAUAAUAAUAAGAAUGAAGUUAGUCAUGAGAAUGAUGGUGUUGACAAAGGAAACACUAUUUGAUCUGAACAUUUAGAUGCAAAGAAGUUGCAAGUGUUGAUGGGCACCAAGAAGAAGAAUUGGAAGUCAGACGCGAGUACAUAGAAAAGGAAUCAAGACCACUUUUACCUCAUGUAUCUGUAAAAAGCAAUUUGCUACCUAUUGAUUUAGUAAACCACAUUUAUGAAUUCCAAAUAUUGUGCAUUAGAUUGAGGUUUAUUUAGAUUUUUUGAACUGCCUAUGUUUUAAAUGUGGAGUUGUGCAUUCAGAUAGUAUCGGAAGCUAUGGGUGCCUUAGAGAGACCAUGGAUAAAAUUGGCUAUGAUUAAAUUUGAAGGACUCUCAACUAAGGGUUUGAGACUAAAAUCUAGGGUGCCGGUGAAAUAUCUAUCGCCAAUCAUCAUUGCACAAUCCAUUGGGGAUAUUUUAGCUUUUAAGGGCAAAGGGCUUGAUACUAGCGCACACGUGUCCUAGAAUGAGCCGUUGGUUUGCAGUCCUUAGAUGUUAGACAACACUGAUGUUGUUGAUGGCAACAUGAGGCUGGAUUCUUUAUAUUGAUGGACGUAGAUAAUAUCAAUGAGCUUGGCUCCAAAAUUCUUGCAUCCUAUCAUGCUAAUUCUUUUAACUUUAUGCAUAGGAUUUUAAAGGAAGAAAUGAGACAAGGAAAAGGCUGGGAUAAAAUUUAUGAGCCUUUUGAACCCCAUAGCCUUUUGAGCCUAUGAGCCUUAUAUAAGUCGAGAGAGUGUUUGUCUUGCCAAAGCAAAAAAAUUACACCUAUGAAUCUGAUGUAAGAAAGAGCAAUGAUAAUGAAUAUGAUGAGCGUAUUAUUGAAGUAUUUUUAAGUUCAAAUUUAAGUAUGUAAUGCCAAAUUGAUGGAUUAUAGUUGGAUACAUGGCAUUACCUUUUUUCACUGUUGGUGGAACUACUUAAACAAAUUUAUAUUAAGUUAUUUGAAUAAAUUCAUUAGUGAAGUAAUUUAGAAGCUGUACGUAGCACUCUCCUCUUUCUCUUUUUCACGGUCAGUUGUACGUAGCACGCUCUAGAGUACGAUCAAAGAGGGGACAUUAAAUUUGUAUAUUGUGUGAUGCAAGAAACAUACAAACUUCUACCUUAAAUGUAAUGUAUAAGGAAGUUUUUUGUAAUGUUUGUUGUAUUUUUUUUGGUGCAUAGGAAAACUAAUAUUUGUUGUAUUAAACGAACAUGUAUUUACUUAUUCUUUUUUACUAAAUAAAUUAUCCAGUAUAUGUAUUGGAAAUUUUUACUAUUAAACAACAUAACUAACAUGUAAGAUACAUACUAACACGUUUUCUUCAACAAUAAAAAAGAUACAUACUAUCACAAUUUAUAUAAAUUUAAGUUAAAUCAUUCAUAUAUAUAAAAAAAUGAACAAUUUAUAAUUUCCGUGCAACGCACGGGUCAUCACACUAGUUUUUUAAAUUUUCCCUACCAACAAAUUUUUAUUUAAUACUUAAUCUGAUAAAAUUGUCUUUAAACACAAAAAGAAACUUUGUCUUCUCCAUCUUAUUUAUCUUUCUAUCUAUUUCUCUCCUUUUUAUUUUUCUUCUAAAAUCAAACAAAUCAUUAGUGAAUAUAUAUAUAUAUAUAUAUAUAUAUAUAUGAGAUUAAAUUAUUAACUUUAUUUUGAUAUAAUAUUUGACACCUUACCUUUAGAUAAUAAUAAUAAUAAUAAUAAUAAUAAUAAUAAUAAUUACAUCUUUGUUUUAUGAUAAGAACGUGAAAGCGCAAGGAGGAUGUAGGUCAAGUUAAUUUCGCAUAAUCACCAAUGCAUGGUUAUUUUCUCCUUGUCCUACUCUUUCCUUAUCGCCAAUCAUCUUAACAAUGGAAGCUUCAGGAGUUAAAAACAAUUGCGCGCUAAAGAAACUUAUCCUUGAAUGAAACAACAAAACAAUGAAGAUUGGAAUUAAAAAAAGCUCUAGAGGGAUUGGAUGGGAGGGGGCGGUGCUGAAGAGGGGCAAUAAUUAAUGUUAUCGAAUGGCAAUUAAUGCUCGUGAACUAUAGCAUAAUGCAGGCAAGCAUUCAUGAGGAAUAUAUGUCUUUAGAUUAGCUAUGAAGCAAAAAUACACGUAAUAUCAUGUAUCUCAAGACAUUAAUAAAAAGUUGGAAUUUAUCGUGUGUUAAUCGACAUUACGCUUUUAAGUUAUUUGUACUCCAUCUGCCUAUGUAGUUGUUCAGUGAUUCUUAAUAUGUUUUUUUUUUAAAUUAUGCGAUAAUUUCUAUCAAAUUAGUGAAAUUACACAUUUUAACCCUCGUGUUAUGUUGUAAUAUGACUACACUAAAAGCAGUAUCUAGAACUGUGCCUAAAUUUUAUCCUAAUGAAAAUCUUCCACUACAAAAAUUCGGAGGUCUAGCAACGGUGAUUUAACGGUGGUUAAAAAAACAUACCGUCGGUCUUUGAAGUGUCCCAUAUACCUUCAAUUUUUUAAAUUCUUUCGUGUUACAAUUCACAACAAGAGUACUUAUAUUUAUCUAAGAAAAUCUUUUGCAGUAGUUUAUGUUUAUUUUACGUACUUUUUUUUUAUAAAUAUUACUAAUUAGUAAUUAUUAACUUCAUUUUCUGAAGAAUCAAAAAAGUAAUUAUUAACUUCAAACAAGCACAUUAAGUGAUACAUAGACACAUAAUCAAACAUUGUACGUGGCAAUUUACCAUCCUCAUUCAAUCUUUCUCCCUUCAUCAAUUUAGUUAUUGCAUACAUUUCAAUACGAGUCCUAGUGAGGGAUAUGAUUGAGAAGGGAUCCUCUGUGAUAUAGGCAACCCCCUUACUUUUUGUACACACUUUUAAUUCUAUCAACUGUAUAUAUUAAUAGCUAUAAUUUAGUUACAUUUUUAGGUAACCUACAGUUUAAUUUUACCAAAUCAUUAUUGCUUCUAUUUCCCAUUUUUGGGUAUACAAAUUAAUUAUAUAUAUAUAUACAAAUUAAUUUAGUCAUAUAUAUAUAUUCCAUUUAUGAUUUGUUAGGUGCAUGUAGCUCUCCCCCAUAUAUAUCAUAAUAUUUAACGCCAACCAUCCCCUCCUCACUUUCCCUCAUCUUCCAAACUAGCUAAGAAGACACGUAGAAAGAAAGCUACUCUACAAGUAGAAAACCCACUCCAAGAAAGAGAAAUAUGCUUCCCAUAACAUGCAGCAGCCUGCACUUCCCAGCACCACUGCUCAUCAUCAUCAUCUCAUGCCUCGGUUUAAUCGUCAUCCUCAACCACCUCAUCUCCCUCUUCAAGUGGAUCUUCCACACGUGUUUCAGGCCUGAGACCGACCUCGCCGGAACCUACGGCUCGUGGGCUCUGGUCACCGGCGCCACGGAUGGCAUCGGAAAAGCCAUGGCCCACGAGCUCGCCCGGAAAGGCCUCAAUCUCAUCCUCGUCAGCAGAACUGCCAAGAAGCUCGAAAUGGUUGCAUGCGAGAUCCGAGAUAAGCACCCUGGCACCCGCAUUGAGACCAUCCAGGUCAGUGAAAGACUCAGCUCCAUUAGAAACUAUCACUAUGGAACAAGAAAAAUAUAGUACGUUUACAAUUAAAAUAGUUUCUUUGAAAAAUUAAUUUUAACACAUAAGAAACAUAUUAUAAAUAUCAUGUACUAAAUGUUAGUAGCUAGUAAAAAAAUGACUAGUGGAAUUGUCAAUUUUGAUCCUUUCUAAUUAUUCAAUUUUACUUAGUAUUUUAAUUUUCUCUCCCUUACUCAAAUUUUCUGGUUCCAUCCUUGGUUUAGGUGGAUUUCUCCGGUGAGUUCUCAGCGGGGCUCCGGCGGAUUACGGAGGUGGCAAUGGAGCUGGAUCUUGGUGUUCUGAUCAACAAUGUUGGGGUCACGUAUCCGGGGGCGAUGUUCUUCCACGAGGUGGAGGAGGAGGUGUGGAGGAACCUUGUGAGGGUUAACAUUGAAAGCACAACGAGAGUGACGAAAGCUGUUUUAUGUGGAAUGUUACAGAGGAAGAGGGGUGCCAUUGUUAACAUUGGUUCUGGUGCUGGGGUGGUUGCGCCUUCACACCCUCUCUUUACGAUCUAUGCAGCAACAAAAGCGUAAGUUUUCUCACUGCACCUUCCUCAUUCAUUACUUUGUCUUUGCAUGUUCAUAUAUAGCAAGACUACUAUACACAAUAAAUUGUAAUAAAAGCACUUUUACCUAAAAGGAUAGUUUUAUUUAUAAAUUCUAUUUUCUAGGCAUUUAGACAACUUCUAAGAGGAUAAUUUUAUUAUACAUUCUAGGUUUUAAAGAUCAAACAUGAUAAAGUACUAAAAUUUACUUUUUUUAUGGUUUAAAAAUAAUUAUACAUAUAAUAUACACAAACAUUCAAUUGUAUUUCACUAUUUUAACACAUAUAUAUUUAAGUUAAAAAUAAUUAAAAAAUAUAAUAUAAAUAAAGUGCAGUGAAAUUGACAGGGAGAGACACUAAAGUGCAACCCGUGAUGCAUUACGGGACACGUCAAAAACUGGAGAGUUCUGACUCUAGGCACCCUCCACUCCAGACUUGUAACUGAUGAUCACAAAAAAGAAAUAAAACAGUUAUGCAUCACUCUCUUUUUAACUGUGCAUUAAUUCCUCACGGGACAGUUUAUUAAUAUGUAGAUGAUGAACAAUAAUUAUUUAUUCACACCUCAAAAUGAUGUGGAAUGAGGUGGAGGAAGAGAGAUAGGAAGAAAAGAAAAAGUAAGAGUGAGAAAAUAUAAGAUGUGAUAGAUGAUAAGAGGAGAGAGAUAGAAAUAAAAAUAUGUGAAAAUAAAAUGUAUAAAAAAAGAGAUGUAUCAUUACCCGAUGAUGAAAUGAUUGAGAGUGAGACAUCGAGUUUAGUACUAUCAUUUUGGCCUAUAUUUUUAUGAUUUAAAAGUUUUCAAUUAUAAUUUUUUACAGUGGAAAGAUAAAAUACAUUUUUAAGGGAUUGAUCCCUUAAAAUUUACCUCUCUCGUUUAUAUAUUUCUCAGCUUUUACCACUUGAGCUAUCAUUCGGAGAUAAUUGUUAAUCUUAAUUUAUUAAUUAAAUAAAUAUUAUCUAUAUUUAUAUAGGCUAAAAUUAAAGUUUAACUAUAUAAAUUAAUUCAAAAACUUUCUAAAAUGAUUUUGAACUGAUUUAGAUAAAGUCAUUAUUCACUUGAUGAAUAAAAGUGGGUUUGCAUGCGCACAUUGAAGUAAGUUAGCACAAUAAGAUCAAUUGUAGGAUGUUUUUUUGUGAAAAGUGGAUCAAAUGGAUUGAGGGUUGCUUGACGUUGGUUUCAUUCUCAAUUUCGAUGAACAGAAGCUCGUGCGAUGAAUUCUUCAUAUCCCUGUAAAAGGGAUUAGACAAUGUGACUCAUUAGCUCUGUUCUUAUUCUUAAUUAAUAGUGGCUAAGGUAUUGAGUUACCUAUUUAUUUUUGUUGUACAUCGGAUUUCAAUUCUGCUAUGUAAUAAAACAAUCAUGUCUUCAAUCCAAUCCUCUUCAACAUUGUGAUUGACUCCCAUAAUUUGGUUCUUAAAAAAAAUCACUAUAUUAUAUAAGGCCAGAGAUUCUUUCAAAGCAUCUUAAAAUACUUUUAACAGCCCAAAUAUUCUCAUUAGUUUCACAAAGCAGAAUUGUAUCAUCCGCAAAUUGAAGAUAGAUAGCUGAUUUCCAAUUUAUCACUCAUCCUCUGUCGGCUAUUUUCCCUGUUACUGAAAGAGAGAAAAACAUGCAGCUAUGUGCAUCAGUUUUCAAGAUCUCUCAAUAUGGAAUAUGGACAACAUGGGAUCCACGUGCAAUGCCAGGUAUAGUACUAUAAUGUUAGCAUGAUUACUGCACUUUUUCAUGGUAAUGAAACUUACUAUUGUAUUUUGAUGAGGAAUUAAUGAAGGUACCUCUGUACGUUGCGACGAAAAUGGUGUCAAGGGUAGCAUCAAUUAAGCAAAAUUCGCUGUUCAUACCAACACCUGAAGGUUAUGCAAGAGCUGCAAUUCGUGCAAUUGGGUAUGAACCAAUUUCCACACCUUACUGGGCUCACUCAAUUCAGUGGUGCUUCGCUCGCUUAAUCCCUGAUCCGCUUCUUGAUGCUUGGCGCUUGUCCAUUGGUAUGCGUCGCAGGAAUUAUAUAAAGGGACAGAAGAACUAACUGAGAGCUUACCAUUAGCGCAGUGUUUGGGCAGAGCUAGAGCUUGGCUAAUGCAUAAGUUAGUGUUUGGUGUGUGCGUGUUUUGUAUAAAAGUUCCUUCUAACUUUUGUGAAAGUUGGUUAAUUUUAGAGUGAACCGUUUAAUAAUCAUAGUGUGGAAGUUCCAACUUCUUUUAUCCAUUAUGAACUAAAAUCUUUUCUCUCAUUCUUGUGUCUUAUUUUCAGAUAGAAAUCAUCUGUUGUUCAGUCUAGUUUUGAUGACUCUUUUUCAUGCUCUACCAAGUACCACCAUUAAAAUUAAAAUUGUGGUAACGUCAUUAAGCAUAUGCAAGUGGUGGAUUUGUGGUUGUACUCCUAACAGCCUAGAUUUAGAAGAAGAAAAAGAAAGAGUCCGGGAAAAAAAUCUAACCCAAAAAAGAAAACAAAAAACAAAUUGGGCAAAGAAAGGAAAAAAAAGGUUCCGCUUGAGUACAAGUUCAAGUAGAGUAUAAUAUGUAAUAAUUAUAACGACCAAUAUCACAUCCAAUAAGCAAUGAAUUAUAAAGAAAAUAUGAUAAUAAUUAGUAAUUAAUAAAUCAAUAAGUAGGAGAAAGAAAAGGUUAUAAUUUUGCCCUUAGGUUACACAUGAGUACUAGUAUUUAUACAAAAGUGUAGCUAACUAACUUAUAAUACAAGUAACAAACUCAGCAACUAACUAUAACUGACCACAACUAUUAUUCUCACCUAUGUUUUGACUUUUACUUGCUAUUUUCAUUCUGUAUUCUCAAAGAUCUCCUUGGAGCUAGUGUUGGUUUUGUGUUUCGACCAAGCUAGAGCUCAUGAUCCGAGUGUUUACUUUCACUCUCGUCCUCCAAGUCCCCCAAGUAUAUUUCACUCUCGAACCCUUGGGGCUUAUGUGUGAAAUAUCUAACAAGAAAAAUUGACGAGCGGGUGAUUUUUCUUUAUUCCCAGAAAUAAGAGUGUACUAAGAUAACAUAUAUUAAUAUCUCAACUCCAACCGUAGAAGACUAGACAACCAAUAAUCAGUAGAAAGGCACGACAUCCUACUACCCAUAUACUGACUUGAGUUGCUAACCCCAUACCAACUUUAGCACUAGCAGGAGUUACACAGGAGACUAGACUAGGUAUAACACAUAAGCCUGCAUUAUCACUAAAACUGCACCAUACAAGUGUAGAUUUAACAACUUAAUCGUAAAGAAAGUUAAGAAAUAACAUGGAGAUACAAUGAAAUCAUAAUUAAACUUGGGAUUUGGAAAAUCAGUCCUUCUAGAGUAGCAGGGACCCUUCAAGACAAGGAGUUGCCAUUAAGGUUCCUGCAUAAGUAUUUUUUUUAAUACAAACCUCUAGUUUUCUUAUUUGUCUUAUUCAAGUUCAAGUAGUCAUGGGCCUAUGAGAUUUAGGUUCACAUAAAAUGAGUAGGUUCCGCUUGAGUAAAGUUCAAGUAGAGUAUAAUAUGUAACAAUUAUAACGAUCAAUAUCACAUCCAAUAAGCAAUGAAUUGUAAAGAAAGUAGGAUAAUAAUUAUUAAUUAAUAAAUCAAUAAGUAGGAGAAAGAAAAGGUUAUAAUUUAGACCUUAGGUUACACAUGAGUACUAGUAUUUAUACAAGAGUGUAGCUAACUAACUUAUAAUACAAGUAACAAACUCAGCAACUAACUAUAACUGUCCACAACUAACUAUAACUGCCCACAACUAGUAUUCUCACCUAUGUUUUGACUUUUACUUGCUCUUUUGAUUCUGUAUUCUCAAAGAUCUCCUUGGAGCUAGUGUUGGUUUUGUGUUUCGACCAAGCUAGAGCUCAUGAUCCGAGUGUUUACUUUCACUCUCGUCCCCCAAGUAUAUUUCACUCUCGAACCCUUGGGGCUUAUGUGUGAAAUAUCUAACAAGAAAAAUUGACGAGCUGGUGAUUUUUCUUUAUUCCCAGAAAUAAGAGUGUACUAAGAUAACAUAUAUUAAUAUCUCAACUCCAACUGUAGAAGACUAGACAACCAAUAAUCAGUAGAAAGGCACGACAUCCUACUACCCAUAUACUGACUUGAGUUGCUAACCCCAUACCAACUUUAGCACUAGCAGGAGUUACACAGGAGACUAGACUAGGUAUAACACAUAAGUCUGCAUUAUCACUAAAACUGCACCAUACAAGUGUAGAUUUAACAACUUAAUCGUAAAGAAAGUUAAGAAAUAACAUGGAGAUACAAUGAAAUCAUAAUUAAACUUGGGAUUUGGAAAAUCAGUCCUUCUAGAGUAGCAGGGACCCUUCAAGACAAGGAGUUUCCAUUAAGGUUCCUGCAUAAGUAUUUUUUUUAAUACAAACCUCUAGUUUUCUUAUUUGUCUUAUUCAAGUUCAAGUAGUCAUAGGCCUAUGAGAUUUAGGUUCACAUAAAAUGAGCAGGUUUCGCUUGAGUAAAGUUCAAGUAGAGUAUAAUAUGUAACAAUUAUAACGACCAAUAUCACAUCCAAUAAGCAAUGAAUUGUAAAGAAAAUAGGAUAAUAAUUAUUAAUUAAUAAAUCAAUAAGUAGGAGAAAGAAAAGGUUAUAAUUUAGACCUUAGGUUACACAUGAGUACUAGUAUUUAUACAAGAGUGUAGCUAACUAACUUAUAAUACAAGUAACAAACUCAGCAACUAACUAUAACUGCCCACAACUAACUAUAACUGCCCACAACUAGUAUUCUCACCUAUGUUUUGACUUUUAAUUGCUCUUUUGAUUCUGUAUUCUCAAAGAUCUCCUUGGAGCUAGUGUUGGUUUUGUGUUUCGACCAAGCUAGAGCUCAUGAUCCGAGUGUUUACUUUCACUCUCGUCCCCCAAGUAUAUUUCACUCUCAUACCCUCGGUGCUUAUGUGUGAAAUAUCUAACAAGAAAAAUUGACGAGCGGGUGAUUUUUCUUUAUUCCCAGAAAGAGUGUACUAAGAUAACAUAGAUUAAUAUCUCACCUCCAACCGUAGAAGACUAGACAACCGAUAAUCAGUAGAAAGGCACGACAUCCUCCUACCCAUAUACUGACUUGAGCUGCUAACCCCAUACCAACUUUGGCACUAGCAGGAGUUACAAAGGAGACUAGACUAGGUAUAUCACAUAAGCCUGCAUUAUCACUAAAACUGCAUCAUACAAGUGUAGAUUUAACAACUUAAUCGUAAAGAAAGUUAAGAAAUAACAUGGAGAUACAGUGAAAUAAUACUUAAACUUGGGAUUUGGAAAAAUCAGUCCUUCUAGAGUAGCAGGGAUCCUUCAAGACAAGGAGUUGUCAUUAAGGUUCCUGCAUAAGUAUUUUUUUAAUACAAACCUCUAGUCUUCUUAUUUGUCUUAUUCAAGUUCAAGUAGUCAUAGGCCUAUGAGAUUUAGGUUCACAUAAAAUGAGCACACUGAGGUUCUGCUUAAGUACAAGUUCAAGUAGAGUAUAAUAUGUAACUAUUAUAACGACCAAUAUCACAUCCAAUAAGCAAUGAAUUAUAAAGAAAAUAGGAUAAUAAUUAGUAAUUAAUAAAUCAAUAAGUAGGAGAAAGAAAAAGUUAUAAUUUAGACCUUAGGUUACACAUGAGUACUAGUAUUUUUACAAGAGUGUAGCUAACUAACUUAUAAUACAAGUAACAAACUCAGCAACUAACUAUAACUGCCCACAACUAGUAUUCUCACCUAUGUUUUGACUUUUACUUGCUCCUUUGAUUGUGUAUUCUCAAAGAUCUCCUAGGAGCUAGUGUUGGUUUUGUUUUUCGACCAAGCUAGAGCUCCUGAUCCGAGUGUUUACUUUCACUCUCGUCCCCCAAGUAUAUUUCACUCUCGUACCCUUAGGGCUUAUAUGUGAAAUAUCUAUAAGAAAAAUUGAGGAACGGGUGAUUUUUCUUUAUUCCCAGAAAUAAGAGUGUACUUAGAUAACAUAUAUUAUUAUCUCACAUCCAACCGUAGAAGACUAGACAACCGAUAAUUAGUAGAAAGGCACGACAUCCUCCUAUUCAAGAUGUCCCUCUUUGCUAGAGAGGGCAGAAUAAAAUAGGAUUUCAAAGACUUGAGUUCUUGAUCAAUGCAGCAUAAAUAAACCAUAGAUUACAAAGUGUUAAACUAUUUAUCUUGCCUUUUUAAUUGUUCUUUUUAAUUGACCAUUCUCGUUCCUUAUGCUUAUUUUACUAUUACAACACAGAAACUUAUCUAGUAACCAAAUUCAUGAUGCAUUCCGGCUUCAAUUGGAACAAUAACUAUUUUACAAGUUUUAUAAGUGACUUCUUGUUCUCGCUCUUCUUAGUGUUAUAGUUUUGGAAAGUAACGAGAGAGUGAAAGAGAAGAUUUUUAGGGAAAUAAUAUUUUUUUGUUUAUAACUUGGAGCAAUACAUGUUUUAUAUAGAAAACAUAAAAGACCUAGCUGCGGUUGAAAACGCCGCAGAUUGCAUACUCCAUUUCGACUCUAUUUUACGGUGGUUUUAACCGCCGCUAGAUACUAAUUAUUUUUUCUUCAUGAUCGCUUCUAUUGCGAAUUAAUACAUAAAAGUUCAUUACUUUCAUAUAAUUUAACACAGCACAGUGCCUAUGACUAACAAAUUCCAAUUUCGACUGUAUAUAUAGGAGCAACCAUUUUCAUCUGAAGUUAAAUAAUGAAUAUACAAAGUUGGAGGCCUCAAACUCCUCAAAACAGAAUGCAAAACUGUUUAACAAAUUUACUAAUUUCGUCUAGACAUUUGCAUGUCAAAACUAGAAACAAAUUAUAACAAUCAAGUCUGUUAAUGACCACAAUUCAUUAGCAUACAAGUGAUCUUUCCUAUUUUUCUAAAAAAGACAUCAUCAUGAAUAGCAAGAACAAUUCUUGUUAGUGAAAAACAAAUUGCAUAGUUAUCAUGAUUAUUAAGUUGUGAUUGCCUAAUGUCCAUACAGCAAACCUGAAAGCAGAGUUGACAUUGUUACAAACACUGUAAGAUUGCUUGGACUUUUAACUUGAAUAAGACAAAUAAGAAGACUGGAGGUUUGUAUUAAAAAAAAUACUUAUGCAGGAACCUUAAUGGCAAAUUCUUGUCUGGAAGGGUCUAGAAGGACUGAUGUUUCCAAAUCCCAAGUUCAAGUAUGAUUUCAUUGUAUCUCCAUGUUAUUUUUUAACUUUCUUACGAUUAAUGUGUUAAAUCUACACUUGUAUGCUGCAAUUUUAGGGAUAAUGCAGGCUUAUGUGUUAUACCUAGUCUAGUCUCCUAUGUAACUCCUGCUUGUGCUAAAGUUGGUAUGAGGUUAGCAGCUCGAGUCAGUAUAUGGGUAGGAUGAUUUAUUGCCUUUCUACUGAUUAUUGGUUGUCUAGUCUUCUACGGUUGGAGAUUAGAUAUUAAUAUAUGUUAUCAUAGUACACUCUUAUUUCUGGGAAUAAGGAAAAAUCACCCGCUCGUCAAUUUUUCUUGUUAAAUAUUUCACACAUAAGCCCCAAGGGUACGAGAGUGAAAUACACUUGGGGGACUUGGGGGCGAGAGUGAAAGUGAACACUCGGAUCAUGAACUCUUGGUCAAAACACAAAACCAACAACAGCUCCACGGAGAUCUUUGAGAAUACAGAAUCAAAAGAGCAAAUAAAAGUCAAAACAUAGGUGAGAAUAGUAGUUGUGGUCAGUCAUAGUUAGUUAUUGAGUUUGUUACUUGUAUUACAAGUUAGUUAGCUACACUCUUGUAUAAAUACUAGUACUCAUGUGUAACCUAAGGUCUAGAUUAUAACCUUUUCUUUUUCCUACUUAUAGAUUUAUUAAUUACUAAUUAUUAUCAUAUUUUCUUUAUAAUUCAUUGCUUAUUGGAUGUAAUAUUGGUCGUUAUAAUUGUUACAUAUUAUACUCUACUUGAACUUGUACUCAAGCGAAACCUCAAUGUGCUCAUUUUAUGUGAACCUAAAUCUCAUAGGCCCAUGACUACUUUUUUUUCCUUUCUUAGCCCAAUUUGUGUUUUCUUUUCUUUUUUCGAUUAGAUUUUUUCCCGGGCUCUUUCUUUUUCUUCUUCUAGCCAAAUCACCCAAACACUUCUUUUGGUAACAGAGGAAUGAACACACUAACAGAAAACCAAACUUCAAUUAAUCUUUUCCUGAUUAUCCUCCUCCCUAUAACUUUUGGUUGGACACAAUCGACAUUGAUGAGAUAGCAAAAAAGAGAUUUUAAAGAAUGGAGGAAAUUUAUUGCAACUUUUUACCAAAUCAUAGGUACAUGACCAAAAUCUAGAUUCAAUUUUCUUCAAAUGCAUAAAGGUUACUACAAAAGAUACACGCCAGAAAAUAUUGUCAAAGUCAAAUCUGAAGAGGGUACUUCACUAUACUCAAUGUAUUCGGUCUGUCGAAGGUCAAACAAUUUAAAUGCAACUGUAUGACAAAAUUGAAAAUUAAAGUUUAUCAUGAAUCAUAGUCAAGUUGCAAACAGAUUCUACUUGCCACCAUUUCUAAAAAGUGCAAGUUGGAACUCCUUCGCCACAAUGAAGUAUUUAGCAUUUAUAAUUUCUAUUUUAUCAAAAUGUUACUAAAUUCUGAUGACAUCAGUAAUAUAAACAAGGCUUAAUUGCACAUUUAGUCCCCCACUUCUACACUUCCUACAAUUUUGGUCCCCAACAAAAUUUAAUUGCAUUUUAGGACCCCCAACGUUGUUCUCCGUUAGCAAUUUUGGUCUUCCGUCCAAUUUCUAGCGGAAAUGCUGACGUGGCAUUCAUAAAUAAUAUUUUAAUUGAAAAAAAUUAAUUUCCUUAAUUAAACUAUUUUCAUAUUGAAAAAAAAAAGAGAAAACGAAUCAAUGCAUCACAUCUUCUUCUUUCUUGUUUCUUCUUCUUAAUUACCCAACCACCAUCUUCAGCCUCAAGCCCUCAUUCACACACCACCAUCGCCACUCCCAUGUCACGACACUCCUCCUCCUCCUCUUCGUAUUCUUCUUCUUCUCACCACGCACCACCAUCCAAAUCGCCUCUACUUGGAACCCAAAUCGUCCUCUCAUAGCAUCAUCUUCUUGCAAAACCUUGAUGAUCAAAUCAGGUCCCAGAUCUUAAAGAUCACAACAUUGAGCAUUGUGUUGUGGGUCGGUGGAGCUCCAAUGAGAUUCGAAGAGCUGGUUCGACGAUGGCCUUUGCGGUGGCCAGAACCUUCGAUGGUGGUGUCACUGUCGUGGAGAAGAAUCCCGAUUUGAUUCAGAUGGAGGUGUGAUUCAGAUGAGGGUCAAAUGGGUUCUGAAAAAGUUUGAAGCUUUAGGGUGUGUUUGGAGAGUUUGAUGGCUGAAAUGGGUUGAAAAAAUGAUGAAUCUGAAUGUUAAUUUGUGCUUCAAAGGUUGAUCUAAAUGUUGGGUCGGUGGGGGGUGUUUUCGAUUGGUUAAGAUGGGGGUGGAGGGGUGGUGCGGUGGUUGAGUGGUGGUGGUGCUUGGGUGGUUGAGUGGUGGUGUUGUGGUGCGCAGGUGGUGGUUGAAUGGAAGAAGAUGAUGGGGUUUAUUUUCCUUUCCUUUUUUUUCAAUAAAGAAAAUAGUUUAAUUAAAGAAAUUAAUUUAUUUCAAUUAAAAUAUUAUUUAUGAAUGCCACAUCAGCAUUUCCGUUAGAAAUUGGACAGAAUUGGGACGGAAGACCAAAGUUGCUAAUGGAGAACAAUGUUGGCCGUUAAAAUAUAAUAUAAAACCAUUAAAGUGACCCUUACCCAACAGCUUAGCUUUUGGGAUUAAGUGGUUAUUUGAUUUGGUAUCAGAGCCUCUAUGACCGAGAGGUCUAGAGUUCGAUCCUUACUCCCCUCACUUUCUAAUUAAAAAGUGAAAUUUAAUUAAGCACAUGGUAGGUGGGCUUGUGCAUUUAUCCACGCUUCAAGCCCAAAGGCUCUUGCGUGAGGGGGGUGUUAGAAUAUAAUAUAAAAUCAUUAAAGUGACCCUUACCCAACAGCUUAAGCUCUUGGGAUUAAGUGGUUAUUUGACAUGUUGUUGGGGUUCUAAAAUGUAACUAAAUUUUGUUGGGGACUAAAAUUGUGAAAAAUGUAAAAGUGGGGGACCAAAUGUGCAAUUAAGCCUAUAAACAAAAUCAUGGCUAGUUGUAACACAUGAAAAAGUUAUAAUGUCAACAACAAAUUAAACACAUUGUAUCUACCAAAAGCAGUGCAAACUUUGAUUUUGUACCAAAACUUUACACAAUUAAGACUAAUAGUUUGAUCAUCGUAAUUUUUGUAAAACUUGUUCUAGGGAGAGAAGUUACCUUGGGGAUUUUGAAUUUAUUGUAGACAUCUUGAAGGACCUUGUUGUUCUGAAUCAUUUCCUACUCAUUACUACCACGAUUUGUUCAUAUUCCUUUGGCAUCAGUUUUGAAAAAGAGGGGAGAUAAUACCUAGAAUUUUAUUAAACAAAACCAUCAUAAAAAAUCUGAAAAGGACAAACAGAGAUUUACAAUAUCAAUGAGUAAUAUAGUAAACUGGGCAAAUGAUAAGAAUCCCUAAGAAUCAAGUAAAACACCUAAACUAGUAAAACCAAAUCCAUAUUUGAAUAAUAGUUGAGUAAUUCUAGUUUGUAUUCGAACCAGCCUUAGACUGUUUUUGAACUAAAACCCACAUUUUUUAUUAAUUGUCACAUUUGUUUACUAUUCUUUCUUAACGGGCUUACCAUUAUAUUUAUUAUUAGGAUAUUUAAGACACAAGUUUAAAGUGAUGGACAUUAGUGCUAUUGCUAUUUCCUAUGUAAACAAAAAAAAAAGUGAGAAUCAAUGACAUAUUUUUUCUUUGCAUUGAAAAAUGUGUGUUAUAACAAUUUUAGGAUAUAAUAACAACAUAUAAAUGUGAUAAAUUUCCUUAGAAAAACUAAUAAUCAAUAAUCAAUUAAAAGUACUAAAAGAAUAAAUUCAUUUUUUUAGGAGAAAGAUUUACGAAAAGAUCAAAUCUAAAACAUAAAAAAGCGUAAUAGUUAUUAGUGCGAAAGUUUCAUUGGAUGAAAUGCAAGGGAGAAAUAGGUUCUUAUAUUUUUCUUACACUUUGAAGAUUAAUUAGUUUAAUUUUUACUUUUUUUGUUAUAUAUAUAUAUAUUUCUACUAAACAUAAUUUAAUUUAUGUAUUGAAAUUCAGUCUCCAACUAUAACAAUUUUUUUUACUUGGUCCCCCAAAAUUUAUCUCCUGGUUCCGCCACUAGUCCACUACUAGUGGCCUUUACGUGUUACCGAAUUCUUCCACCGUUAGAAUGAAAAAAGUCAAAAAACUGAUCACCUAUGAACAAUGACUUUUGUGUAAAAAAAAAACAAUGACUUUUACUUUACAUUCAAUACAAGUUGACCACAUUUAUUUUGUUGUUUUUUACUUCAAUACUCAAUAGAGAAAACCCCCUGAAAUAUAUAAUUUGCAUUAUAUUAAACUCUACAUUAUAAUCAUAUUUGCAAGAAAGAGGGUCCAAAAAUUCUUAAUUAAUAAAGAAAGGAAAGCAAACAGUGGUAUUCAAAACGCAAGUUCUAAUUGUGACGUCCCUAAAAGUGUGGACGUAUGAUAACAGUUGGUUCAGGUGGUAUUUUUUUUAUAAGCAAAUCAAAUAUAGUAAUAGAAGUACAAUGAUACUUUAACUCAAUAUAAAAAGAAGAGUAGUAAGUGAGGAAGAAAUUACAACUCAAAUCCACUUUAGAGAUCCCCGGAGGCAAGACUUUUAAAAACAUGUCUCGUUAAAACCUUACAAGAAAAACCUCAUUGAAAAAAACAUUUUGAAAGAAAAAAAGAGUGAUGCUAACUUUACUCUUUAGAGUGAUUUCAGAGCUUAAUUCGAGAAAUAUAACACUCAAUGAGAGCUUGCCCAUAUCUAAUAUUUUCAUUUUUUUUGAUAAGCCAAAUGUGUAUUAUAAAUAGAGGUACAAGGGGUACCACAACCCAUAAUACAAAAUAGAGUGCACUACAAAUAGAGAAAAGUAAAAACAGGACAGCAACCAAAUAGAAAGCCAGACAUCAGGCAAAAAAACACAAAAUGAAAACAAAGCAGAAAGCUCUCAAUCAUUUGUAUUGUAUACCACCAAGUUCAUUCAAAAUGUCCAAAUGCCAACACAUCACCAUGCUGCUACCUUAGCAUCCGUUCCAGCAAAAUCCCCACUCUGCAACCACCUCAGAAUUUCGUAUUUCACAUACCAGCAACACAUAAGGAAGGAUGGGCAAACCAUUCAUAAAAAGAGCAGCUAAAGCCUUUUAGAUUAGCUUUAUUCCAUUGCCAAGAGCGCCGCUGAAUCAGAUCAAAAGUCCCAGACACAUCCACCAGUUUUCCUCUAAAAGCACAGUCAUUCCUGAGGAGCCAGAGGGACCAAAUAGUUGCCAACCAGAUUGAGAACAUACCUCUCUGUUGGUAUUUAUUUCUCCCAAAUUUAAAAUGGUUCAAGUGAUCGCGAGAGGACAAGUGGAUUACAACAGAACACCCAACCCAUCCAUAGCAGCGCUUCCACACUUCCCUGGAAAAAGAGCAAUCAAAGAGAAGAUGGAAACUUGUUUCAUCUACAUUUCUGCAGAAGAAACACUUAGCCUCACCAUGUGGAAGAGGGACCUGACGCCUCCUCAAGCAAACCAGAGAGGCAAUUCGAUCCAACAUAACCCUCCAAGCGAAUGCCUUCACCUUCUAAGGAGCAGAUGAAUUCCAGAUCACCAGGAGAAUUGGAUCUUGAGGGGGCAACGAUGGUUCCUGUAAGAAACAAUAAGAGGAUUGGACAGAAUAAUUCCCAUCAGCACUUGGAAGCCAUGUCCACUUAUCCGGAACACCUUGCUGGAGUUGAACAGUAGCAACAUCACGAAGCAAGGAUUGCUCCCACAACAGCUCACGGCCUCUAAGCGGACGACGCCACUUGAACUUCCAAUGCCAAGACCUGUUAAUCCACUCACCACAAUCACUCACACUUGCCAAUUUCAGGUAGGAAAGAUUAUACAAUCGAUGGUAUUUCGACACUAAGCUUUCAGCUCCAGCCCACGGUUCCCACCAAAAUGGAGUGUCAUUCCCUUCCUUAAUAGCUUUAGACGAGCCAGCAUCAAUCCAGCUAACUCCAUCCACCCUACAGGCAUCAUUCAGAUCACGCCACCAAGGUGAAGGCUGAGAACACGUACCUGAAAAAUAUUUUGCUUUAAUUACUCGGCACCAUAGGCUUUUCGGAUCAGUCCGCAGCCUCCAAAGCCACUUCCCAAGCAAAGAUUUAUUAAACAACUUCAGAUCUUUUAUUCCUAACCCUCCCACCUCCUUUGGCAUACAAAUUGAAUGCCAUUUGACCCAAGCAAUCUUACUAACAUCCUCCGAGCCACCCCACAGAAAACGUCUCAUAAUCCCUGAGCAAAUACUUUCAACACCUGCAGGCAGCUUGAGAAAAGAAAGGUAGAAUAGUGGCAAGGCUGAGAGCACGCUUUGGAUUAAACAGACCCUACCACCAAAUGAGAUAGUUUUAGAGCGCCAAGCUGAUAGCUUUCCCCUAAACUUCUUAAUAACCGGCUCCCAAGUCUCCUUACGGCUUGGGCAACCCCCAAUUGGGACUCCUAGGUAAGUAAAUGGUACAGUCAUCGUCCUGCACUGUAAAAUUGAAGCAAGCUGAUUAGAAACAGAUACCGGGACAGCAAUCGAGGCUAACUUACUUUUGUUGAAGUUAACUUUGAGGCCCGAGAUCAAUUCAAAACAUCUUAACACGCAUUUCAGCACCACCAUAUUCUGGACCGUCGCCUCUCCCACAAACACCGUGUCAUCAGCAAAUUGUAACAAAGACACUUCACAAUCAGCGGACCCACCAACCUUAUAGCCAACAAAUUUACUCAAAGCAACAGCAUUAAGAAACAGCCCAUUCAACCCUUCAGCUAUAAUCAAGAAGAGGAAAGGAGCAAUGGGGUCUCCUUGCCGGAUUCCCCUUUCCAUCCGAAACUCAGCACUUGGGCUUCCAUUCACUAAGACCGAUACUGAGGCAGACUGAAGGCAUCCAUGGAUCCAUUUAAUCCAACGAGGAUGGAAGCCCAUUCGUCUCAUCAUGUAAAAAAGGAACUCCCACUCCACCGAGUCGUAGGCUUUUUCAAAGUCUACCUUAAAGAUACUGGUUGCCCUUCGCUUAUACUUAGCUUCAUGGACAACUUCAUUAAGAACCACUGCACUAUCCAACAUAUGGCGACCUCCAAUGAAGGCAGAUUGUCGCUCAUCAAUAAUCUUCCCCAUAACAGGUUUCAGCCUAUUUGUCAGCAGCUUCGAGAUCACUUUGUAGAUACAUCCAAUAAGGGAUAUUGGCCUGAAAUCAUUAAGAGACUGAGGGGAAUUGAUUUUAGGAAUGAGAGCAAUAAAGGAUGCAUUGGAUCCUUUCGGCCAAACUCCACGCUGCCAAAACUCCUUAACAGUCUUCAGGAAAUCAACUUUUAGGACAGGCCAAAACUUCUGAACAAAUUUAAAGUUAAAGCCAUCGGGUCCUGGGCUUUUAUCACCCCCACAAUCCCACACGGCAUCCCUAACUUCACAGUCGCUGAAAGGUUCAAUCAAAGCUGAGUUAUCAGCAGCAGAAAGGGAUUUAAAUUGCACUCCAUCAAGAGUUGGACGAAUCCAAGAAUCUGACUUAAAUUUCUCAGCAAAAAAAUGGUGGACCGCUUCCUUCACCCUUGCUGGCUGAUCUUCCCAGAUACCAUCAACCAUCAAACCGACAAUAGAAUUGGCACGUCGCUUCCAAUUAAUCGUAGAAUGAAAGAAGCUGGUGUUCUGGUCACCUUCAGAAAUCCAUCUAGUCCGGGCCUUUUGAAACAGUAAGGAUUCAUGAUACCGCAGAACCAUCCAGAACUCAACCAUGAGUUCUCUCCUAUUAUAACAAAGGAGUUGUCUAAAUGACCCAAGAAAAAUUUGGGUUGAAUAACAUAUCAUCCAAUCACAUUGAAGAUAAGUGAGUUGGAAUUUUUAUAUUUUAUUUAUUAAUUUAUUUUCAACUCACUUAUCUCCAAUAUGAUUGAAUGAUGAGUUAUUUAACCGAAACUUCCUCAUAGGUCAUUUAGACAACCCCUAUAACAAAACAUGCACUCAGAUUAAGUUGUCGUAGUGCUAAAUCACUAAUGUGAAAUCUUAACCCUAGUAUUAAUAUUUAAUCACUUGUUUUCCGCUUUCUCUGGAGUCUUCUUAAAUCGCAACCACUAAGGCACUAACAAUGAACUACAGAGGAAACAACGACAACUCACUCGCAAUAUUCCAUUAAAAAUAUUCUGUUAUGUUACGUACUGUCUUAUGUUUCUUAAAAUAUAUGCUUGAGUUCUUCAACUUUGUAAUUAAAUAUUUGUGCUUUUCAAAUUACGUGCUAUAUUAUCCUCAUCUAAACAAAUUCACAAGCCUCAUGUGUUGGUCUGAGUGAAAGGAGCUCAGAUCUCUUAAACAUGUGGUCAAGCAUUGGUCCCUACUUUAAUACGUGACAUUCAUGUAGGAAAUUAAUCUUUCACCUAUUAAGUAGUGGAAGGAUACUAGAAAUCGGAAAAGAAUAAAAGAACAAAUUCACAGGCACAAUAAGCUUAUUUUGAAAGUAAAAAACUGCAUACUCCAUCAUCCACCACUAACGUAGCAUUCAACUUGUUCAAACAACAAAACAAUGUACACACUUAAUUUAUAAGAUCCAUUCAAAUUUACCCAGAACACAUAACUAAAGAAAGAAGAGAGAGGGAAUAACCACCGUUUGAUAAAGGGAAAAUAAAAAGAAAAGAAAAAGUAAAAACAGAGAGGGAGAGAAAGUAGUUACAAACGGUUAACGAUUUGUUUGCAGUUUAUGUUUCUUUCGAAACGCAACCUCCGUGUCCAAUCCGAAACCAUCAACGGUGCGGACAUGAACCAAAACUGAUUUGUUAAAAAGCUCUACGAGAGGCUGCACGCUGUAGAGGUCGUUAGCGGAGUACUUAUCGGCGCGACGCGAAAGCGCCACGUGCAGCACGCACACACCGUCAGGCUUCAACGUGCGUUCAAUCUCUGCUACAAACCGCUGUGGGUACAAUGCGUGAUCAAACACGUUGGAGAAUUCAAAAUCAAACAUCUCAUCACCAAACGGUUGGUGGUGAAAGUCACCCUUCACCACCAAUGGCGGGUAGGGGACCAAGUCGAUUCCUACAGAAUCAACCACACCUACCCGCCGUAGGGCCUCCACCUCCUGACCCACGCGUGCGCCAAUGCAGAGGGCCUUGGAGGUGUUUUGUAGAAGGCUCUUGUCCUUGAGGUCUUCGAAGAACCGCGCAAAGACGGGGAUCUUCCGGUUCCAGUCGCGGGUGGUCCAUAUCUUUCGGAGCCUUGGGUUGAGGGUCUUGUUGAGCUGGCGUUGUAUGUAGGUCUCGUAGGAGGUGUAACCGGGUCGGAUUGUGAGAUCUUUUGUUGUGGAAUGAGAAUGUUGAGGUUGUUGUUGUUGUUGUGGAGAGAAUAGAUGGAGGAAGAGGAAAGGGAGGGACAGGAAGAGUGAGAUGAGGAAGCAUCUUAGGAUGAAUGGUUUUGUGAGCGUGAGUUUCAUAUCCGUGUAAAAUGCUUAUGGUUGAUGAUGUAGUUAUGCUCAGUUUGCAUUGUUAUUUUGGUUUUUGUGUUUUGGAUGGUGUGGGAGAAAUGGGGGCCAUGAAAAGUUCUGGAAACAGAAAUUUGAAACACAAAAAUGAGAGAGAAGAAAAACUAAACCAAUAUAAUGAAACGAAAUUUCAGUGAAUUAAAGCGGAAAAAGGUGAUAGAUAGUUAGAUACGUCGUUUGUGAUGAUUAUUAUGAAAAUUGGCAAAGAAGGAAGUACGCGUGGUGCGCAGUGCGCGCAUGCAAAGAAUCAAGGUGGCACUAUUUUUGUGUGUAUACUGUAUAAGCUUCAUUUUGCGUUGUGAAUUUGUUAACUUUAAGCCUCACUUUUCCGUACAUCGAUUGAUAGCAUGUAGAAUAAUACGAAUUCACGUUGAUUACAGAGCGCUUUAACGGGUAGGAGGGAAAAGAAAAAGGGAUUAAUUAAAUAAAAGUAUUAAUGGGUCCAAACUGAGCCAGCAAAUUAAGUGAUAAAUGGUUGGACAAAGCCAUGAUUAUAGGGAGAGUGAGGAGAAGUAAGGAACAAGUCAAAGUGAAAUUAAUCAACGUGAUCAUGGUUAUAUAAGGUUGCCGUCCCAUUCAAAUAAUAUAAAAAACUAAAAAGGUUAAUCAAUAUUUUUUUUUUUGAGUAAAGGUUAAUCAAUAUAUUGAAAACAUAUUAACCAAAAAAAAAAUAUUGAAAACAUAUGUGUUUAGCUGUUUGACCGCUAUUGUUAUUGUGGAUUUCUAAACCAUCAAUUUUUUUUUUAAAUGCACCGUAGAUUGUGAUGGUAAAAAACCAUCACAUCUACUAAAUUGCCUUAAAGGCUUAAAUUAUCAUAUAUCGGAUGAAUUUCGCUCCAUCUUUAUGUUCACUAAAUAUUACCAAAUUUUAUACAGUGAAUAUUGACAGGCUGAACAAAAAUUGGAAUAGGGACACUCCAAUGCAAGGGAAAGUAUCAAAUAUGAUCAUGUGAGGUCAAAUUAAACUUGACUUAUUAGGGCAGAAACUACAUGCAUGUGAUUACAAAAUUCCAAUGAAUAUGUUCAAGCUGCAUGCAUGACUCUUCUGAUAGGUUCGCCAAUCACCAUGCAUAUAUAUGUUGCAUCGUUACAGUUAUUACAGUUACAUUCAUUGGUUAUCUGCGGCCAUAGCAAUGGGAUCAGUAUCUCACCCAAUCUUUAAUCGGCACUCCUCCCAAUCUUGCCAUGAACGAAGCAAGAUUUUGUAAUCUUCUAGUUUAACCUUUGUUUGGACUGAAAAAUGUAAAAGAAGAAAAACACGAAAUCUGAAAAAAUAAAACUAAAACUUAUUAUUUGAAAAACAAAACGAGAAAAGGAAAUCUUACACCCAAGCAAUUAAAAUAGUUUUGUAAUUUCAAAUUUUUGAAUUUUCCUCUUUUACAUUUUAAUUUUAAUGUUCAGUACAAUUCCAUCCCCCGACAUCUAACAAUCUAAUUUUCAAUUAAAAAGAUUUGUUAUUUCGCAUUUGUAAGUUUCCCUCUUUUACAUUUUAAUUGAGUAAAUACUAAAUAGGUAAUUCAGUCCUGAAUUUUUUUUGGUGCUUAUUAGUCUUUGGGAAAAAAAAACUUUGUAAGUCCACGAAUGCGUAAAUUGCCACUAACAUACAUUAGUAAAAGUAACCAAGAAGUAUAUUUGGGCACUUACUCCACUACAACAAAUCGCGUAAUUAUUGACGGUCAAAAAACCGUUACAAAAAAUCUCACUUUACUUGUUCUUCUAAUAUGCCAAAAACUAGGCUUCGUUGGGCUAGCUUUCUAAGGCUCAAGUCUCUUAAACGUACUUUGAGCCUGAAUUUGACAUAUUAGUCUGAAAUAAGACAUUUUUACGGUAUAGUAUGACCCAUUUUAAAGUUCGGUCAGCUUAAAAACCUACUUAAAAUGUUAAUUUAUAAUGAGUAUUCAAAUGAACAAUAAGUUUUUCUCUAAAUUGACAAACAUGUUAUAGGUUCAAAAGUCUUUUGAAAAUGGCCCAAAUCUGACUUUUUUUUUAGUUAAAUGUUCUUUAUAAAAAAAAUAUAGGUUAUGUUUAUUUAGUUGAGAUGUUUUUGCUGUGUUCACCUAAUCAUCUUCAUGACCCAGGCCUUGGUCGCUUUGGUCUUGGUAUUGGAUAAAUGGACUUUUGAACCAAAAAAAAAGAUAAAUGGACUAUUUUCAGGCGUUGAAUGCUGAAGUUUAAACCUAGCCCGUUACACUUGCUCUUGAAAUGAAUAACAGAACCCAAAAAUCUUGACCCUUCAUGUGGUAAAUUUUCUCAUUAAUUGUGACAGAACACACACAAAAACAUUGAUUCACCUUGAAUUACAUAUAUUUCUCUUUCUUAAACUCACCUAAUUACUUUAAAUCAUAUCAUAAUUAAGACCCUCCCUAUAUAUGAAGUGAAGGGGCCUAAGUAAAGAUUGUCACACAUUCUCAUAAAAGAGUCAUACAUGUAUAUAGUAAAGAUGUUGAAAUACCACAAAUUCAACAAACAAUACUAACUAUGUCAUUUUUGUUCCCACAAAACGAGCACAUUCCCAUUAUAAUCAAACUAAAAAGGGUUAGACACCAAUGGUUUUCCUCACACUUCGCAUCACCUUGUAUCCUAUAAGAACCCUUCCUUGCAAAAUCUUAAUCUCCGCAUCCACCACAAUAUCAACCCUUUCCUUGCAGCGUUUCUCUAUCUCUCUUGUUGUAGCUAGAGAAAAACUGCACGCGCCUCUCAUCCUUAUAACAAACAAAACCAAAAAUAUUUUCUAUCAGAAUGGCACGUGCACGCUAUGUUGUGGUUCUUGCCUUUGUCAUGUUCGCCAUCAUUGGCAUCGCACGUGCCGCCGAGGCACCCUCCACCAACGAGUCCGACUACGAAGAAGAUGACACUGAGUUCAUGAUCGGAACUAAGGGUGGCGACGCUCCUUCACCCGGCACUGUUGUCGCCGCUCCCAUCGGUGGGCCCGUGCCUCCCGGUGCCUUCGACAAUGCUAAUGCUCAGGCUGAGGCACCCGCUUCCGCCGCCUCUUCCCUCCACCAAGUUUCAGCUGUUGCCGGAGCUGCCACCGCCGCUCUCGCCGGCUUCUUCUACUUCUAAUUGAUUCUGAUCGUUUGGUUCAGCAAUGCAUGCUAAGAUAGAGAGGAAUAGGAUUAAUGUUUAUAUCUGUUUCUUCUCGAUCGCACGUGCAUGCGUGUUGUUUUUUUAAUUUGGACAUGUAAUCGUCAAGUUUGUUUGGUUAUGAAACCCAACUAAUCAACGAUUUUUUUCAUGCUAAUAUAUAUGAUCAUGCUUGAAUAAAAGAAGCUUAAUUGAUAAUAACUACUCAGUUUUUAACGUUGAGAGUUGUUUAUGGUACCUUAUUUUUGUUUAGAUUUAGAAUAAAGCUUCAAACAUCAUUGGACACACACGUUGAAGCUUAAUUUGUUUAGUUGGGAAACACCGUUUUAGAAAGUCAAAUAUAACA
rnacentral:lncRNA from 1 species